rnacentral:lncRNA from 1 species
UUUUUUUUUUUUUUUUUUUGUGUUUGCUGAUUCUGUUUAGUUCAGCUAAUCUUACUUGAAAGCCAAGGCACAUUGAAGAAAGAAAGAAAGAAAGAAAAUUAUACACAAAUAUUACAGCACAAAAACAUUUUAGGCAUCAAGCCAUCAUUUUAUUUAUAAAUAUUCAUUGUAAUUAGUAUAUCAAACACACAAUCACAGCCACAACAAAUUUAAUAAAGCUCUCACCAAGCUUAUAACAUGACAUACAUAACCUUAACAAGCUUUUGUUUCAUACUCACACCAUUCUAUCUCUUAUUAUUAUUCAACUACUGAAAUAACCAUGCAUGUUCAUGCCUUGACAAGUGAAGCAUCCACGUCUUUUCCAGCAUGAAUCAGCCAGUGGAGGUACUUAGUUGGAGCAGGCUCAUUCUCAUUGAUAUUCUCAUACUCAAUUGUCCAUUUGGCAUAGUUGGACUGGCCUUUUGGAAUAACUUGUAAGCUAGCCUUGUAGCUCUUUAAUUGUUCCAAAAUGUGUCCUCCAACUGCUUCUGCAGUGACAGUCUUGUUCUCUUCAUCCACCGUAAGCCUUUCUUUCAGAGUCUCAACUUUUCCAUCUGGGCAGUAAAAUAUUUAUCAAAUUAAUCCAUUAUUAUAGGGAUAUUCUACCAAAUUGGUGGCAGAAAAACAUGAAGUUAUGAUGCAUAUCAUCUUGAAAUUCCCAGGAAAAUCACCAUAAUAUCAAACUGUUCUACAGUAAAUUUUAAAAAAAAAAAAUCAUGCAACUCUAAUUUGUAACUAUCAAUCUUACAGAGUAUAGAGUUGGUUUUUGUUACCUAUUGCAUAAGUCCAGAGCUUGACAGAGCCCUUAGUUUUCCAGUCACCUUGAUGAACCUUAACACCAUGAACUUUGUCGGAGCAAAGAUUUGGAAGUUUGUGUGCUUUACCACCAAAGCUCUGGAAGAACUCAUCAGGAUCAGACUUAAUCUUUAUCUCAGCUUCUAACUUUCCAGCUAGAAUUGGACUAGCCAUAAUUGGUUGUAGUAAUGCUGAAAAAUCGCUGUGCACCUUUUCCUAGUAAAUGCUCUACCAACUAAACUGGCUGAACCAUGAUUUAUAGAAUCAAAUUUUCAUUUCACAGUAGCUUUUAGAUUAUUACGUAGAUUAAGUCAACAUUUUGUGCGAAACUGUUUAGCAUAGAUGGUUAAUUGAGUGAAUGCAAAACUUUUUGAUGACAAAGCAUGUUCUAUUUGCAGUAACAAACUUGAUAGUUUUAUUAGAGAGGUAAAAAAUGUCAUACCAUUUAUUCACGUGGUAAGUAGACGAAAAAAGGAUUUUUUUUUUCCAAACUUUAUAAUGUUUUUGGGAUGAUUGAAAAGGGAAAUCAGAGUAUGUUGACAAAUUGUUUUUUUUUUUCCUUUUUUAAUAGGUAGUCACGCGUAUUGUUACAAGAAUGGAAAUGAAAAAAAAUUAUUUUGGCCCUUCAAAUCAAGAAAUUGUACAUUUGUCCGCUUCAUGAAUGGUGAAGCACAUCAGAAAGUCAUCUUUUUUUUUAUUCUUUUUUCUUUCUUUGUUCGAUACUCAACAACACCAUGGAUACGCUCAGCAAAAGUCGCAAACGCCAAAAUCUUGAUGAAAGCAGCUCUUCAGCCAUCAUCAUGUUGAAAAUACUGCAAAACAGUAGUGAAGGGCAUUGCAUUCAUGUAUCAAUAAGGCUACUUCUAAGACAAGAGAAAAGGAUUUGAAUAUUUUCUUUUUAGCUGCACCAAUCUAAUUGUUUGCUAAUUUUGGGCAAUUGACUAGGAUGAUCAUCUCAUGCAUUAUCUGCAUUUGAUAAUUGAUAUAGGUAAUUAUCUGCCAACGAAUAAAACCAAUUACACGGUUUAAAAAGGGAACCUAAUUGGUACAAAUUGAGAUAGUUACGUUGACAACUACAUUGUGGCAUUGGAGAGAGGGUUGAAUUAGAUGAUAAGUUAAGAGAGAUUGUAAGUAAGAGGUUUAGGGUUAAAGACCUCCCACUUACAAGCCAAAAAAAAAAAGCUUCAAGGUGGCAUAAAGUGACUAAAAUGAAAGUUCAAUUUAAAAAGUGAGAACUAAUGCCAUAAUACAGAGUAACAACUUCAAAGUGGCGGUUGCUAAUAAUUGUCAACAUAUACAUGCAAUAUUUAUUGAAACCGAGGACCAAUUGGCAUGUACAGGGAUAAAGAUCUUACUAAUCAAUUGAUCCAUCUGAUUCGAUUACAUUCUUUAUCUUUAUCUUUUUCUUUUCAGAGAAUUGGAAUUUUCUUGCUGUAAAUCUUUUUACUGCAGCAGAUAUCUAGAUGCUCCCCUACAAGCAUAUAUAUUAACCCUUGAACUAGCCAGUCCAGGUUUUUUGUUGGACUAGGCUUAUUGUCGUUCAGUUUUUCAUGGUCAAUCGUACAUUUGGCAAAGCUGGAGUCACCUCUGGAGAUAACUUGUAACGUUGCUUUAUAGUUCUUGUAGUGCUUCAUACAAUCUCCAUCUAUUGCCUCAGCAGCAGUGGUCUUGUUCUCCUCGUCAAUUUUGAGCCUCUCUUUGUAUACCUCAACUUUUCCAUCUAUAUUUGCAUCACAAAGAAAUUCAUCAGUGGCUUUUCUUAACACUGAAUAAUGUUUCACUCUUAAUUUGUUGUUUCCUAUAUUAUCUAGCUUUAGGCUCAAUUUGCCACAUUUUGGGAAAAACGAAUUUAACAAGAAAAUGUAAUGGAGAAAAGUAUCAAUUAUUAAAAACUAUUGAUGCUUCGUUACGCCAAACUAAACUACAAUAUAGACUCCUUAUCCUUGAUGUCUUUCUCAUUUCGUUAUGAAAAUUAGAUAAUUGACUGAGUAUGCUAACUACUUCACAAGCUAGAUCGCAUAAAAAAAAUAAAAAUUCAUAAAACUUAAAGGAGUAAAUGAACAUUAAGAUACAGUAAAGUGAUGGUUUUACCUAAGUACAACAAAUAAGAAGUAGGCGUGGCAUUAUUUUUUGUGCAAAAGGGUAAAAACUUUUAUAAUGAAAGUGUUACAAUUCAAGAGAUGAAUGGUAGUAUUAAAAGAAAGAGUGUAAGUGAGAGAUUCCGAAUUCGAAACCUCGCACUUACACUAAAAAAAAAGAUAGUAAUUUUAAAAGUUUAGUAUUAGGUCCUCUUCUUCUUCUUCUUUUUUUUUGUGCUUAUCUUUUGCCUUUACAACACUCAAUAGAAAAAUCUUAUUAUUCUACCGUCUUUACGUAAGAAGCAAUAAUAUAGAGUCAAUUUCUUUGCAUCCAGUGAAAGGAUAAGGAGAUAAAGUCAAUUGAGGAGGCUAAUUACGAUAAUAUGUCAAGCUCAAUAAAAAUGCCAUGAAACAUAUGAUAAGAGUUGUUGUCAAGAAAUUAUACAAAAAGAUACUGAGGGAAGCCCAAAGCCCGUGAAAAGAAUAUAAAAAAAUAAAAGAUUGUGAAUAUAUCAAAUAAAAUUGCGGUCCAUGGGCACGAAAUAAGUUGAGUACAAAUUUUGGCAUGAUCGAUUCAUAAAUUUCUGCUGAAAGAUUGUCUCCUGAAUUAUUUGUGGACAUCGAUUGUGAUGGCUCGGAAAACUUAGUUUCCUCUAAUUCAACAAAUUAGUUAUAUGUUGAUUUAUUUGAUCGAUUCAUAGCUUGCUUUAUCAGUUACCUUUGAUUCAAAAGUCAGUCCAGUGUUUGCAGUACUUACUUAUAAGAAUGUGGUUUAAUAAUUUUGCAGAGUAAAAUUUAGAGAGGUUUCGAGGGCUUAGUUGACGAAAAACAAAUAUAUGGAAGGCCAAGCUAAGAAUCAGGGCCUGACAGAUAUUAUUACACUAUGAGGUCUCAUUUCGAUUUACUCUAGCAUUUAUUUAUUUUUUGAAUAAUUGAAAUGGAAUUCAUAUAUAUUCAUUCUUAAGAAAUUGUUCUGAUCUUGCCCCCUUCCUACCUAGUACUGUAUUAUUUUUUCUUGACAAGGCGCACAAAUAAGUAAGACAUUUUAUUUUAGUUGUCAUGAAUUAGGAAAAGAGCUUUUUUUCUUGAAAUUCAUUUUUUAAUGUUUCUUGAUUUUUGUUUUUUAAUGUUUCUUGAUUUUUUUCUCCUACCAAAAAAAAAAAAAAAAAGUAUUUGUCCUUUUGGUUUCUCAUAUUUUUGCAACUUUUGCAGGUAUGUAUCAACAAAUUGUAAUUGGGAUAUAUGUGUGUGUUUGUGUGUGCGUGCACGCAUGUGUAAGUGUAUGUAUGUACAUACAUGUGCAUAUGUAUAUAUAUGUACAUACAUACAUAUAUACAUACAUAUAUAUAUGUGUAUAUAUAUGUGUGUGUAUGUAUAUAUAUAUGUAUACAUACAUCACGCACACGCAUAUAUAUAUAUGUGUGUGUGUGCGCGCGCGCGCUUAUGUAUAUAUAUGUAUGUACGUACAUACGUACGUUCAACAAGGAUUUUCAGCCAACUCAUUGCUAUGUGUACUAGCCACAAAGGUAUGCCUAACAACUACCAUUUAAUUGUUGGAUACAUUAAUUAAUCUGAAGGACAAACCUGCAAGGCUGUUGGAUCUCAUUAAUUAAAUAAGAGCCCAGUGCACAUCUUGGUCAUUAUGACCAGUUAAUGGCAAUAAGGUUGUACUCUCUCUCUUGCCGAAGAGUGGCCAAAAUGCCAAAUCGAAGAGGCGCCUUAAUGUUUAUCACUACAAACUUACAAAAAUUAUUUUGGGUUUCUACAGGAAAAUUCUGUUGAAAGGCAAAAAGUUCAACCGACAGAAAAUUGUGUGGAUUAUUAAAUCUUAAUGCACAAUAACUUUUGCGAGAAUCUUAAGCCUAAUUAAUACUCCCUCCAUUCCUUAUUAGAUGUCCUAAUCCAGUGUUUCUUUUUAUCUGUCAUUUUAUGAUAUCAAGAAAGCAUUUAUAAACUUUUUUUCAAAUUUAUCCUUGUUUACCCUUUCAACUUUCUUGAAUUGGAACUCUAAAUAAUUAAAUGCAGUAUUUGUAGUAUUAACAAUAGAAGUAGUUGAAGAGAUGAAGAAUUAAAUUGAAAUGUGUCUAUUAAUUAGGUAUAGUUGAAGAGAGAUAAAGGGUAAUUUUGAGAAGUAAAAUAAAACUUUUGUUGACUUUUAGAAAAUAACCAACUUUCUUAAUCUAAGAGAAUUAGUUAUUCAGGCCAUCUAAUAAGGAACGGAGGGAGUAACUCGUAAUCCACCAUAAGCCGUGAAGAUUGCUGCGGCCAAUGCGAUAGGGAAAAAAAAAAAAAAAAAAGAAACUCGUUUUCCAGUCACCUUCGUGCACUUCAAUCCUGUUAACUUUCUCAUUCACAAGAUCUGGGAGUUGGUGUGCUUUAGCGCCAAAGCUAUGGAAGAACUCAUUAGCAUCAGACAUCAGCCUGAAUUCAGCCUCCAACUUACCUACUAAUUUACUAGUCAUAGUAGAGAGUUCCAAGAAUUGAUCAAACCGAAAAAAAGAAGAAGAAGAAGGAGAAGGAGAAGAAAAGCCCUACUAAUAACCUUGAACAAUACUAUGUUUCAUGCAACUCAGCCACUUGACUACCUGAUCUAUAGAUGCUUCAUUAAUUGGUUGGCUCCCACAAGUUACAAAUGUGUGGUUCUCUUUUCUUUUAGCUGCAAAAUAUGCGUGUAAUCGUGAACAUGAAUGCAUGUUGCAAUAUCUUCUCAUGCAAAUGAUAUACUGCUGCGUUUAGCCAAUACUGUCACACUUGAUUAUUAGUUAAAUUGGUAAAUGCUCCACUUCUGUCUCCAACGGGGAAUUCAAUGGGAAAUAAUGAUGUGGGGUAUAUUUCUUUUUUUAGGGGCGGGUUAUACAUUUUUAUCUAAUCCUUAUCCAUAGCAAGCUGAAAUCAAAAUUGCUCUACAUUUCAAUUGAAGUCCAUGAUAAUUAUUUGGACAAGUUUGAUUUGUUUUGUAUAUGCUUAGGACAACAUGCCAAGAAUCGACCAAAAGCAGACUCACAGAACACUAGCGUAGCUUAAAGGACAAUUUCGAUUUUGGAUAGGUAAUGUUUUGAUAGAUUUUCAGCUUGCACUUUAAACUUCUAUUUUAAAGUCUUUUAGUUUUAUGAAUACACUUUUUUUUCUGUAAUCUAUCUGUAAUCAAAAUAUGUAGUGGGCUUUGAGUAUUCCUAAGAAGAAGCGAAAUUCGCUUUUGCAACAGAAGUAAAAUUAAGAAGUGAUAUUGUUAUUUAAAUUUAUAUAUUUGUUGUGCAGGUGCGUACAUUUAUUGUUCCUAUGCAUACAUUGUAGAGUACAAUUGUAACUAACAUUGUGGAGAUGCUACACGCCAAUGUUGUACUUUCUGCUGGUUUAGUUCACCUCUUUGGGGACAUUUAGCAAGAAGUCAAGAUAUGAUAAACAAGUGUGUGUGAUACAGCAAAAUUUUAUUAAAUUACAUGACGAAAUUGUGAUCUAACUGAAGUUUUGCUCAUGUUCCUUCGUUAGAAAAUCAAUUAACGUGUUUGUUAUCACAAGAUUACUUAUGCAAUUUAGAGAUCCUCUUUUGAUUAAGAAACCAAAAGAGAUAUUUAAAGAGAGGAAACUAGAGAGAUCCUUGAAAUUUGAAGGUUCAAAACGGUGAACCGAUGCACUUAGCAUUUAUAUCUUCAUCAACUGAGAUAGAUAUAAAGCCACCUAAACAUUCAUUGAUCUUUGCCUUCAAAAUUCGAAAUUCACUAAUUAGAUUGAUCUUUUCUACGCAGCAUAUAAUUGUAAUUACACAUGCAAUUCGAAAUUCAAGUUACUUGUAUCAAAAGAAUUUUGCUAGUUCAUCUAUGAUGAUAGGAUACCUAAAUCAAAAACUGCAUGAAUGAAAAGUUAUAGGAUGGUACCAGUGAAUGUCGCUUGUUUUGUGGAGUUCUAAACCUUGAGGUGGGUUGGAAUUUAUUGCAGCCAACUUUGAUCCUAUGGGGGGUGGAUAAAAAUCAGACUUUUCCAAUAGAACUGGCUCACACAUUAAAAGGGUGUGAUCCCUUUUCCCUCUUGCCUGUUGCAAUAUGAUUAACUUCCAGUGCGUUUAGGAAAACAUUAGUAUAAAGGAGUGAAAGAACGCCUGAAAUUUGCAAUGACAAAACUGUAUGGACAUUAUUUGUGCAGACAUUUGAGAGAGAAUGCUGAGCUGAUAAUCCUUGAUGGAGCAGGGCAUUCAUGGGCUUAUGAAAAAUCUGAGUUUUAUAAGCACCUAAAAACCUUUCUCAUAGGCUGAAUCAACCAACCGACUUAAGGCACUUCAAUCUUUCCUCUUCAACUCAAAGAAGAAAUUUGUCGUUCAACUCAAUUUUCGAGGCUAAAAACGUAGGGGAAAGCCUCUAAUCAAUUGAAUUUGUAGGUACACUUGGUUUCGUAGAAUAAAUAACUGACAAUGAUGGUUAAUAAUUCUUUCAACAAUGUUCCAUUCAUGAUGUAUCUCUGCUCAAGCUAUUGCAGAUCAUACAAAUUCCACUUGUGGAAGGAAGACGGGAAAAUUAAACCAUGUUCAUGGCUGGCCACUAAAUCCCUUGUUAAUGACUUCUAAUCAACUACUACUAUUUCAAAGACACCAUAUAUAAGACGACCAAAAAUUCAGCUAAACACAUACCGUUCUGGGUAAAAGAUGUCAUGGCCCUCAAAUGACCUAAUCAGCCUAAAUUCAAGAGUACCUAUUAUGAAACGGACCAUAUGCCCAAUUGUUUCACAUCCUAAACUAUCAAAGUAAAAGUAUAUUGAGACAAGAAAAAAAGAAAAAAAAAAGAAUAGACAAACUUUGCUCCCUUUAUUUUCAAAAUAUUCAACCUGUAAGCACUAAUCAAACUGAAUAGUCUCAAAAGCUUAACUCAAUCAUAUAAUGAUCACACAGAAUAGCGAAAAAGAAAGGGAGAAGAAGUACUCUGGUUGCAGACUCCUAAUUUGGUUGUUGGAGAAGGGGCGGUAGUAGUGGUUUUUAACUGAGAAUGAUAGAGACUGAGGUUUGAGAGUCUGAGAGUGUAGACUUACGGUUUAGUUCUUUUAUCCUUCAAAAAAAGGGUUUAGUUCUUUAUCCUUCAAAAAAAGGGUUUAUUCUUUUAGGAGUUUUAUUUUUAAAAUUUUUAACGGGAUCAAAUUGACUGCAAUGCCCAAGAAACUAGCUGUACUACAAAAGUUAAGGGUAGAAAUUUCUCAAUAAGUUCUGAACACUUAUGUGUUUUAAGUCUUUAAUAUUUACACUAGCGCUCGAUAGCACACUAUAUUCCUACUUGCACUCGAGUCGUUACAACAAUCGAACAUGUUUGAAAUUGAUUCAAACACGAUCAAAGUCGAAACAAGACAAUCCAUUGAUCAAGCAGCUUCAUAUGUGCACCCGAGUUGCUCGAUUCGCAUACAUCCCUAUCGCAAAAUCAUAGUAAUUGAACCUUCAACAUCGAGUAUAGGAUUGGCCUUUGUUAUUCACCUAAUGCUCAAGUACAUAGCCUGACAGAGCCGGCAUUCUUCCAAUCACCUUGAUGAACAUCAAUGCCAUGGACUUUCUCGGAACACAGAUUUGGAAGUUGGUCUGCUUUACAACCAAAGCUAUUGAAGAACUCAUCAGGAUCAGACUUGGAUCUUUAUCUCAGCCUCCAACUUUUCUGCUGUAUUAGCCAUAGUUUUUUCUAGCUCUACUAGUCAAAAAGCUACUGAUUUUCAGCUCACCUUCACCUAGUAGAAUGCAAAUGCUAACGUAUAUGUACUUUAACCAUCGGACCACCGCUUAUAUAGGAUCAGUUCCAUUUUUCCGUACAUUUGUGAUGGUUUGUACUAAUAUCUUUGCUUUUUAUCAAUUCUGUUUUAGGUUUAUGUAGUUAUACCGCUCAUACCUAUGCUUAAAUUUCAAUAUACUAAUUGGGCUUAAGUAGCAAAGUUUUGAAAUUUAAUUUAAAAAGAAAAAAAAAACCUGGCUACAUUAUUUUUGGAUUAGGUCAGGAAAUUUGCCUUGCUAUUCUUCUUUAUCAUAGUCAAGACAAAAUUUCUGUUGUUAGACUAUUACCAGGAUUAGGUUAAUUAUCUAUGUCUUUUGAUGCAAUAUCGAGAGGCAACAUGUCCCAGAUUAAAAUUAAGGGGCAGAUAAAAUGUCAUAUUAAUCCAAGAAAACCCAACUGCAACCAGAACUAGAUUUCAUGCUUUGCUUUAUGGCCAUCACCUAAGACGAGUGGGUUAGAAAGAUUUGUUUGCUUGAUAUGUUAUAAUACAGGCUUCGUUAAUAAGUUAUUAAUGCGAAUAUGCAAAACAAAUGGUUACAUUAUAGAUUCCUGUGCUUUGUGUUAAAGCUUCUUUUUUUUUUUUUGGCAACAAAUUUUUGGACUGCACGGAUCAUUCCUUGCUGCUUUUAGAUUUCAAAACAGAAGCUACAAAGUACAGAACAUUUUCAGUUUUAGAAAUGCACCUCGGUUUUUCAAAAGGUGCAUUGACUACUGUAAAGAAUAGUUUCAGCUCCCUGAGAUCGAUGCCAGCAAGAUAGUUAAAUCAGCAGUGAUAAAUGUUAUGCAAUGAACCACUGUUAUAUAAAGGAAGCAUGCUGCGAUAAUGAUACCCCAUGAGGAAAAACAGAAACCCUAAUAAUCAUAGCGAUGAUAGUAACACUAAACCUAGAGUUAUGAACUAGUUCUUCGAGUUAAUUAAGAAUUUCUUGGUCCCAUCUAGGGGUGUAAACGAGCCGAAUUCGAGUUAAUUUUAUGAAGCUCGAAUUUUAUGAAACUCGAACUCGAGUUCGAACUCGAGCUCGACGAGCUCAAAAUAUCAAGCUCGAGUCGAGCUCGAGCUUAAAAAAUAAAAAAAUAAUUAUUAUUAUUUUAUUUUUAAAAAAUAAAAAAUUAUUAUUAUUAUUAUUAUUAAAAAAUAAUUUUUUAAAAAAUUAUUAUUAUUAUUUUAUCAAGCUCGAGCUCGAGCUUAAAAAAUAAAAAAUUAUUAUUAUUAUUAUUUUAUUUUAUUUUUAAAAAAUAAAAAAUAAUUAUUUAUUUUAAAAAAUGAAUAAAACAAUAAUAUUUUAACAAAUAAUAAAAUAUUAGGAAUAUAUAUGUAAUUUUACUAUUAAAAUAAAAAAUAAAAAAUAAAUAUAUAAUUGAGACUCGCGAGUCAACGAGUUUAAUGUUUUUGAACUCGAAUUCGAGCUCGAGAUCGAUUUAAUUAGUUCAAGCUCGACUCGAACUCGAUAUUGAUGAGCUCGAGUCGAGCUCGUAUUCGCUCGAUUCGCGAAACACCCCUAGUCCUUUCUUUGUAGUCAAGUCAUCCAAACAAAAUCGUAUUCCCUCGUUUAUUCCAAUUGUACCAAGAGACCAUUAUUUGGCGAAAAAGACAACAGAGAAAACAUGUCAGAUAUAAUCAUAUAAUCAGUGCUCCCAUAGCCAAAAUGCGCAGGAUUAGAUGUAGUUGGGUAUUAAUGGAUCAAAAUUCUUGACGUCUUCACUUGAGGAGAAGACGACAAACUGAAUUUAACUCGAAAAACUCGAAAAAAAUAAUAAUAAAAUUGCGUUUAAAAGAGCUGCAAUGAAUUUAGUUAGGAAUAUGGAAUUAACCUAUCUGGAGAAAGAUGGACAACAUUAAGCAAACAACAUGCGUUUGAAAACGACUCAGCAUUGAUGAAAGGGUUAAAUGCAAAAUACCCCCCGCCAAUUAUACACCUAGUUGCAGUUUACCCCAUAAACUAUAAUAAUAGGCAUUUUGCCUCCUUGAAUGAUAUGUUUGGACAAAUCUAUCCCUUUUAUUUUAAACAUUGUUAUUUUUCUUUUUUCCCUAUCUUUUUCUUUUUAAAUUCUUCCUUUUUUUUUCUUUAAACAUUGUUUAAAUAAGUAGACUAGAUUAGUCAAAAUUUGUUUAUUUCUUAAUUUCAUAUGUCAAUAUUUUAUAAAAAAAAAAUUUAUGGAAUACAAGAUUUUUUUUCCAAAUGUUGAAGUCAAUGUCAUUUAGGAAAUUGAACUUUUCAAAUAUAUAAUAACAAAAUAGAGAAAUUGAUUAAUCAAUUAGUAGUAGUAUCAAUAACAAAAAAAAUGAACUACUAUUGUUGUUUAUUCUUAUUUUUUAUUUCACUACAAAUAACAAUUGCUAACUUUUCUUUUUUAUGUGAUAUAUAAUAUGUUACUUUUAUUAUAAGUAGUUGAGUAACUGUGAACUCUUAAUUAGUUUAUAGGCACUUAAAUUGUUGAAUUACUAGAUUAAUACACUUUACAAUAUAAGCUACAUAUAUUUUGUAAUAACAAAGAGUUUAUGACAAAUUAUUAAGAAUGAAUUUAACAAAUAAACAAAUUAAAAAAGCAGUUUAAAGAAUAUUAAAAUUUUUUAUGUAAGUCCUUUCACAUCGGAGAGAGACAUUGGCUAGUUCCACGAAAGAAGGAGAAAAUAAAGAAAAAAAAAGGAAAAAAAAAAAAAGAAAAAAAAAAAAAAAAAAAGGAUUUCAGAUAGUAGGGAUAGUAUUGUCCAAACAUAUCAUUCAGGGAGGCAAAAUGAUUAUUAUUAUAGUUUAGGGGGUAAAAUGCAACUUGAUAUAUAAUUUGUGGGGGUUUUUUGCAUUUAACCCUUGAUGAAAAGACUAAUAAAGUCAACAGUAUGCCCCCACAAAAUUCAAUUUCCAAGUCACCAUUCCAACCACUUCCUUGACUAAUCCUAAACUUGGAGAUUGAGCUCCAAAAAAAAGUUUAUUCAAAGGCAAUACGAUUUGGGAAUUGCAAUGGGAAGCAAGUCGUUAAAUGAAGUAAUCAAACAUCACUUAGUAAAGGCUUACUAAACUAGUUAAUAAAGAUGUUGUUGGGCUGCUGUAUUUACCAUGAAUUGAUUUAAAGAUGAAAGUUCAGGAUCUUUAACAUGGAAUAUGGUGAUUUUUCUCCAAUUCCUCCUGGCUUUCUCUUUCUCUUUUAUUCAGGUCUCCCCGGCAGGAAAACAGAUACACACACACACACACACAUAUAUAGACACAAGCAUUUGAAGGUUCAUUAUCGUGAACCAGUGCACCAAGCAUUUAUAUCUUCAUCAAGCCAAAAAAAAAAAAAAAAAAGAAAGAAAGUUAAGAUAGAUAUAAAGCCACACGAAACAUUCAUUUUAUUUUUCGUCAUUACACGUAGAAUCGUUAACACAUACAAAUUACAACCAAGCACUAACAGGAGUAGAAUUGCUAACACUUAUACAAAUUACAACCAAUCACUAGCAGGAGUAGAAUUGCUAACACUUACACAAAUUACAACCAAGCACUAACAGGACUAGAAUUGCUAACACUUAUACAAAUUACAACCAAUCACUAGCAGGAGUAGAAUCGCUAACACUUACACAAAUUACAAUCAAGCACUAACAGGAGAGCAAAUUUUUGGAGGCUUCACUAAGCCCAGACAAUGGAGUACAUUAAAGAUUCUCUUUCAUUCUUUGUUUUUUUUUUACUCCGGGUACCCCGGACCAAGAUGGCAAUGAAGAUAAAUAUAUCACCCAUAGAAGAAUUAUAUGGUACAUAUAGAUGUAUUAUUUAUUUUCGUGCGCUUUGAGAAGUGAAGCAUCCACAUCUUUUGCAGCAUGAACUAGCCAUUGGAGGUAAUGAAAUGGAGGACGCUCAUUCUCACUGAAGUUCUCAUAUUCAAUACCCCAUUUGGCAAAGUUUGAGUCACCUUUUGAGAUAACCUGGAACUUAGCCUUAUAGGUCUUGUAUUGUUCCAAAAUGUGCCCUUCAAGAACUUCGUAAGUGAUUGUCCGGUUCUCCUCAUCCACUCCAAUCCUCUCUUUUACAGUUUCAACUUUCCCAUCUGUAUAAAUUUUCACCAAAGUAGAUAUUAAACAAAGUAAUCCAGCAAGGUUAAAAGCAGUUUUUGGAUCCUUUCCAGUACUAAAAUUGUUUCUUAAUCGAUGAAGACGAAGGAUACGUCAAACGAUGCAUAUGUAUUCACGACUUUCUUAGAAAAUAAUUAAUAAAAAUUCAAAAAUGUCCCUUAGCAAGGAUGACACCCUAAACCUUACCACCUUUUCCUAAUCCAAUAAAAGAUUUUGAUAAUAGUAAACGAAACUUCAAGAUCGAGUGCAGGGUUGGCCUUUGUUACUCACCUAUAGCAUAAGUCAAUAGCUUGACAGAGCCUGUAGUCUUCCAAUCACCUUCAUGAACAUCAAUGCCAUGCAUUUUAUCAGAGCAAAGACUUGGAAGCUGGUGUGCUUUGCCAGCAAAGGUGUGGAAGUACUCAUCAGGAUCAAACUUGAUCCUUAUCUCAGCCUCCAAUGUUUCUGCUGUAUUAGCCAUAGUUCCUUCUAGCUCUGCUAGUCACAAAACCACUGAUCAGCUCACCUUGACCUAGUAGAAUGCAAAUGCUAACGUGUAUGGACCUUAACCAUCGGACCAACAUUUAUAGAGGGCCAGUCCCAAGUUUCCGUACAUCUGUGGUAGUUGGACUAGCAUCUUCAAUCUCUGUCAAUUAUCUUUUAAAUUUUAUGCAGUUAUACCAUCAAAAUUAGACAUCUCAAAUUUGAAUGCGCUUAAAUUUGUCUUGCUAUUUCUCUUUUUGAUAGUCGAGAAAAUUUUGUAUCAUCUGGAACAACUUUUAAUAGGAUUAGAUUUAUUAUCUUUGAUAUAAGAAUAGGAGGUAACAUGUCACAGAUUCAAGCUCAGAGGAAGAUAAGUGUAGACGUAUAGUAAUUGGCGAAAACUCAUUGUACCGUAUACUUCAUUAUAGACAAAAUUCUGUCCUUUCACCACAUAUUUGCGAAAUGAAUGCUCUCAAAAAAAAAAAAAAAAAGUGAUCUAGUGGCUUAAUUAUAUGACCACACCUAUUCUUUUCGGCAAAUAGGCCCCAAUUCAUCAAUCAAACUUUAGUCACAGGUCUUAUUUUACAGAUCAACCAUGAGACAAAAAGCAAGACUUGGUACAAUCUCAUGACCAAUCGCUCGAAGUUCAUCAAGCACAAUUUCGACAACAAUGAAAGCAGUAGGUACCCAUUGGCCAUUUCGCCUGAUCCUUCACGCUGGAGUAACAUCAAUCGAGCUGUUUACCUCAUCGGACCUCCUUCUUCAUCAAUGCCAAUCCAUCCACCAUCUGAAUGAGACAUUACAUUACUUUGCUCAUAAUGCGCUCCCCACUCUGGGAAUUAAUAUUUGACUAUAGUUUAGCAAAAUUGCUUAGCUACAAUGUUGUCCUCCAGCACCAAAAAGCAUCUAUAGCCCCCAAAUUUAGUUCUUUUUCUUUUCCUUUUUCUAACUAUGAAGUAUCUCUUUUUCCGACAAAUAGACAACAAGGUUUUAAAUUUCCUUACUCAAGUUGGAGGGCCCAAUUGAUUGACCCACUAUCAGACCAAACCGAUGCACUACACAUCUGUAUGAAUUUAAGCAAUUUAAAGUGGCAAGCCACAUAUAGUAGCAAGUAGUGAAAAAUAAAAUUUGAACUCUUGACCUCCUACCUCACCAAAUGUUAAAGAUUAUGGUAGUAACCAACAUCCCAAAUGACUGUUGGUUUAUUUCUAUCUCAGUAGUUGUUCACCCAAUAUUCUAAGUACAGAUUUCUCGGUCCUUUUCAUGUUAAAAUGAAAAAGAAAAAAAAAACAGUAGGAAGUGCUUUGUCUGUUAUUAUUAAGGAUAUAAAUGUUAGCUAAUCUUCUUGCUAGUAAAAACUUUACUCUUUCUAGUAUAUAUAAACAUCGAAUGCAGGUUGUGUUUAUCAACAUACUACUCUUUUAUUCUUCUAUUUCUCUAAAAUUAAAAAAAAAACAUAUGUUUAUUUGAACCAAAUGCGCAAGCUAUAUCGCGUAUUUUGCCUAUACAAACAAUUGAAGUAUCAUAAAGUACGCUUGCGUGGAACUCUAAGGAGUUAUUCAUCGUAGAAAAGUUGUAAAAUAAAAAUUUAUUGAAAUAUAAAGAAAAGCUCUUAAUUUUUAUCCUAAAACAACUUUAUCAUUCCAAACCCUUGGAGUGAACCAAAAUAUGUUUACUCUAAUAUAAGAAGGAUCUAAAAUUCUGCAAUCACUGAAAAGUUUAUGCAACAAUUUUGUUACUAAAAAGUGUAAAAUGAUCUCAAUUAAUUAAGCAAUGCGUCACUCAUGAUUUCAAUUUGAAGUUGAAAUUUCAAUGCAUCACUCAUUAAGCAAUACAUAGUUGAAAUUUGAAGUUGGCUACAAUGAAUUACUUUCACACAAUUAUCACACACACACACACACACACAAAGAGAUAAUCAAGUAUAUGCUGGCUAUUAGAUAAAAAUUAAUUAUUUGAUGACUAUCAAUGGAAGAUACACUAUUAUUGGAUACGCUCCCACAAGCUGAAGUCAAGUCAGUCACGUACAGUAAAGACGCCUGUCCCUAAAGUUUUAAUCAAAACACAUUUCAUCCUUAUAGUUCUAUAAUUUUGAUCGAUUUCAUCCCUAAAGUUUCAUGUAAACAUAUUUUAUCCUCAUAGUUUCAUAAAAUUAACCAAUUGAGGACAAUUGAAUAAUUGUUAACCAAUUUGGACCAAGUAUCAUUACAUAACUAGCAUUUCCCAUUGAUAAUUGUAUUAAUACUUAAUUCGAUUAUUGAUUAAAUUAUAUAAAUAACAAUGAGUGUGUUCGGAUAAAAUAUUAUUACUUUUAAAUUUGUGAUAUAAUAUAUGUGAAAUAAAAAAAUAAAUUAAAUGAUACAUAGACAAUUUGAAAAACAUGUAUAUAAUGCUACGAAACAAAAAUUUUAGAAACAAAUGGCAAUCGAAACAGUUCUUUCUUUCACGUUAAUAUUUUUCUUCAAUUGAUUGCAAUGGGAUUGUUUGAAAGAUUUAUCCAAUUGGCUAUAAUGGAGUUAUUUCUUCUCCAUGACUUCGUUUCCUCUCAAUCUUUUUGUUCAAUUUGUGAUUAAGAAGAGAAUCAUGGUGGUUGAAAAUUUCUUAGUUUUGUUUAAAUAAGAAAGUGAAUUAAAAAAUAAUUUUUGAGGUUUUUGGUUGAUCCAAUAUUUUCUGAAUUUUACUAACAUGCAUGCUAUGGCCAAGUGAUGAUAUUCCAUUCAAAUUGCUUGGCAAUCAAUCAAUUAUUCUUAAUUAGUCAAAUUUACGAACUUAUGAAAAUGAAAUGUGUUUACAUGAAACGUUAAAAAUGAAAUUGGUCAAAAUUAUAAAAUUGUAAUGAUAAAAUGUGUUUUGACUGAAAUUUUGGGGACGAAAUUGCCUAACACCUCAAAUAAUGAGGACGAAAAGUGCAUUUUUCCCUAAAAAUAAAAUGAACCUUCGUUCUACCCCUUAUGUUUUUGGGCUACACUCCUUUUUAGUUAUUAAUUACUAUGUUGAUAUUCAAGAUAACCGAACGUAUAUAGCUAGACAUGUUCCUUUCGAGGAAUCUAGUUUUCCCCAUUCCCUGGUCCUUCUAUACUUGGUCCACCACCACGUCAAAACAAACCAAUUCAAUCCACCCUUGUUCUACCAAUUCAUGUUUUCAAAUUCAAUGGAUCCUACAAACAUUUUUUAUCAAAAACCGACCACUACUCUAAUCCUUCUUGUCAAAGUCAAAUGAACUGACCCGAUGCUACUUCGUCACGUAACCAACCAGAACAAAAACACUACUACUUUAGCAAAACUUAUCUCUAAACCUUCUGUGGCGUCAUCUGAACUUAUCUCUAAAUUGAAAUAUGAAGUUAGCUGACAAUAAAUUACUUUCACUCAAUUAUUACUUAACAAAAUAAGUACAGUAUAUUGAAAAUCAAGAUGAGAAUGUGGGGUUGGGACAUCUACAUUUGCUUUCUAGUAUAGCGUCCAUUUCACCAUGUUCACAUCACCUUGGGCAGUUGCCUGGAGAGUGGCUUUUACCAAAACAAAGGUCUAAAUUUAAUUGAAAAAUAAAAGUAAAUAUCAAAAUGGUGGAAUUAAAACAAGCAUGUAUAAGCUGGAAUCCAUCAACAAAAUUAAAAAAAAAAAAAAAGAAUAAAGAGAUUAAUUUGUUAAACUCACAUAGUAAUUUUCAAGGCCAUAAAACUAUGUUCAUCCCAGAUAGAGUCUGAUCAUUAAUCAUUUGGAGUACAUGACAGGCCAGUAUAAUUUCUUAUAUUUGGAUAGAUUAGAUCUAUGUAGAUCUUGUGAUUCAAAUUUUGUCAUAUCAUCUCACCAACUGAAGAAUUGAUGGUGUAGAAAAUUGUACCACAAGAUCAAGCCUAUCCAAGUUUUUUACCUUCUCGGUAAACUAUGAGUGUGUUUGGAUUGUAAGUUAUGUGAAAUAUUUUUACUGUAGCACUUUUUGUGAUGUGAUGUAUGUGAGAUAAAAAGGUAAUUGGGAAGAUAAAAAGGUGUAUUGGAAAUUGUAAUGGUGAUGUCAGCAAAUAUAUUUGGCCAAAUAAUUGGCUGUCCAAACACGCUCUAUAUCAUUACUUAGUUUUAUGGGUAUCUUUUCCUUGCCAAGAAAACUAAUGAAAUGACUGAUUUUUUUUUUUUUUGGCGGGUAAAGGCAACCACUUGAGUGAUUUCAGGAUAGACAAUGAUGACUUUAAGCCAUCAAAGUUUACUUUGCAGUAAAAAUGUAUGGCUCCAAAAUUUUUCUCAGUCUUGUUAAAAGCUAUCAUAUAUAUAUAUAUAUAUGUGUCUGCUUUUUCUCCUACAGAUUACUUACUGAGUAAUAAAUUUCUUGGCCCAUGACAAUAGGAACCGUCCGUCGUGGUGUCACAUACCUAAGGGAGAUUCCACUGAUAUUUCUAAGGUAGGUAGGACCAAUAGGAACCGAAAGAUGACUCAGGAGUUUCAAAACUCGGUUUGGACUUUGGACCCCAACCACUUUACACUAGAGCGCAUUGUGCAGUACAUCCAUGGGCCUUCACACCUUCCCCACCACAAAUUACAAGGACAGGACAGGAGCAUAAAAAUUGGCCUUCCGUUGCCGCCCUAUCUCUUUCACUACAGAAGAACGUGUUGUAUGUGUAUCCAUGGGCCUGGUCCUGGGCCUUCCCAACCCCACCACUAAUUAAACGAGAUGGGACAGCGACCCACGUGUCCAUUUGUUUUGUUUGUGACACUCUAAGACAGCGCCAAUAGAGGGAACUGUCAACUACUCACACCAAUGACUCAUCUUCGCCUAUGAUAGGACAGCAACCUUUUGACCAUUCUACGGUGGCCAAUUUGUACGUGUCAGAAGAGUAAAGGUAAACGUAACAUGCUGUCAAACCUCUCGUUUAGGUCGUGGUGGAUUGCUGAUUUUGGAGUUUCUACAUAAAAAUGUAUUAUUAUAGUGAUUGAAUGUAUGCAGAAAAAUGAGUAGAAAAUUUAUUUACGGGAAAAAUGUGAUUUUUUUUUUUUGGAAAAAAUGACUUUCCAAAUGAUGUCUAGAGUCGGGUACAAACUACCCACAACGAAUACAAACUAUCAAUCACAAUUAUUAGAUUUAAACCACAUGCUUUUAUCUAUUGUCUGAGAGCAGUAAUUCUUAAUUUCAGCAUUACUAGAAAAAUGUAAAACCGAUUCCGCAGGUUUAUACUUGAUGUGUUUGAAACCGCAACGGAUCUUCUGUCCCACACCCUGUGCCACUCUCUGUCCCACUUUUUAUUAUAUUGCUAUUUCUCCUACAUAAAUAUCAUGUUUUAGUUCUUUUUUGUUUUCUUAAGAUCCAACAACUAUUAAUUGAGUUAUACACAAAAUUUAACAUACUCAAAAAAUCAAAAUGCAUAAAAAAUGAGAGUUUUUAUGAAAUUUCUGCUGUAUUUUUUAAUUUUCUAUUAUAUAUUACUUUUUUGAAGCUGCUGUAUUUAUUUUUUACUCAAUUAAUAGUUAUUGAAUGUUAAGGAAACAAAAAAGAAUUAAAACAUGAUAUUUAUGUAAGAGAAAUAGCAAUAUAAUAAAAAGUGGGACAGAGAGUGGCACAUAGUGCAAGACAGAAGAUCCGUUGCGGUUUGAAACACUUCUCUUUAAAACUCUUUUCUCUCCCUUCUGACUAAAAACUCUUUUAAUCAAAAUCUCCUUCAUCUCUCCCAUCAGAAAGAAAUCAAAUCUGAUCCUUUUCCAUGGGAGGAAGUACUCUUUAUAAUUUCUAGUUUCUCUCAUUUGAAUAAAUUAUCUCCUAAGAUUUCAUAAUGAGAGAUUCUUCUCUCUUAAGAUUUUCUAGCAAGAGUUUCUUCUCUCUUAAAUUAUUUUAGUGGGAGUUUUAUUCUCUUCUGGGUUUUUCCUUGUGAGAGUUUUUCAGGUUUUUAUCUUUACUAAAUUUGAGAUUUUAUAGAUCUAGAAUCUAGUUUCUCAUAUCCGUAAUUUCUCUAUUAUUUUCAGAUCCAAAUUUCUCUUUGAACUUGAAUCAAUUUUAAUCAAAUCUGAUUGUCAACAAGUGUGCACUAAUAUAUUGGAAUACAGCAAUCCAUCUGGAUGGAAGAUAUAUAGAAGUACAAUGUUAUCUUUACUUAUAUUAUUUUCUUAGAUCUAUUAUAUCUAUUGAUUUCAGAUAUAUAUCUAUCUGUGUCAUGAUUGUUUGAUAUAUUUUCUGCUAUUAGUGCAGAUUUAUUUGAAUGAAAUGAUCUUUUCUAUAUAUAAAUCUGUGUCAUGAUUGUUUGAUAUAUUUUCUGCUAUUAGUGCAGAUUUGUUUGAAUUAAAUGAUCUUUUCUAUAUAUAAAAAAGGGAUAAUCUCAGAAACUUCCCUUGAGAUUUUUGACAAUUUUAGGAAGCCCCCCUCAAUAAAUUAAAAUUACACAUACCUCCCCUAUCAGUGCAAAAGUACUCUACUACCCCUCAUAGAAUACUUAAAGACAUUUUUUGUUGGAAAAUUUUUGAAUAUCCAAACCAAAAACAAAAACAGCAACAAUUGAUUCUCUCUCUUGGAUGCCCCUUACCUUGCUUUUUUUCCCACAUCCUCCUUUGCCCAACUUCCCAUCGCCCGUCUCCAAUUCUCGUCUACCCAACUUUCCUGUUCUACUUUAGGACCUAACUAUUGCCCAUCAACUCUUGCCCGUGCUUGUCCCCCUCUUUUUCCUACUUGACUUAUCCUUUUUUUUUUUUUUUUACUUUUUCUACAUCAAUUCCCUUCUCUUUGCAAACUUGAUUUGAUUAGACUCAUCCCUUCCUCCUUUUUUUUCCUAUUCAGGGUGUGGUGGGUUUGAUUUUUUUUUUUUUUUUGUAUCUAUGUUCUUUAUCCAAUUUUAGUUGAUUAUGGGUGAUAAAACUUUGUGAUGCCAAAGAUCAAUCAUUGAGUUUUUCAAAAAUUAGUUUUUCAAAUACUAUAAAAAUUUUAAAAAGUACUCUAAAAGGUACUCUAAAAAGUAGUCUUAAAUUUUUUUUAAUGUUUAAAAAAUAUCCCAAAAUAUAUUCUAAAAACUCUACUAUUCUUAAAUAUUUCAAAAUAUAUUCUAAAAAUAUUUCAAAAUGUACUCUAAAAACUUCGCUGCAGUCAAAUUUUUUAAAAGCAUUUCCAACAACAGCUAAUCCAAAGGGCUCAGUCCAAGAGUUUGAGAAAUGGAUCUUUGGUUUCAUAAAAUGGGUUGUUGAAAGAAAACAAAAGGCUGCAAAGGGAGGAAGAGUAAGGGGGUUUGACAUGUGGGAUUGGUUGCUGAUGGAGUGUUGGUUUUAGAUCAAAUUUGAGGUUUUUUUUUAUUUCUGGUAAAAUUUGAUGGAGUAUCGAUUUAAUUUUAUCAGUUUAAUAAUAAGAGGCGGGUGUAUUUACCUUGUAGAGAAAGUGUUGGGGCUGGAUAGAGAGUAAGAAUUAGCCUAGGCUGCCGAAAGUAAAUUGGAUUGCGAUGUUUUGCGUGCCUACAAUUGUUGGAAUUGCUUUUGAUUCAGCUUGGGAUGUUUGCUUGGCUUUUCCGAUGGUGUUGCCAAGAAAAAGCAAUCAUCAAAAUUCUUUUUAUUUUAUUUUUAAAAAAUUUUUGGUAGAGAGGAUUUCUUGGCUUUUGAUAGUCUUGCUUGGAAGAAGACAAUCAACAAAAGAGGGCAAUUAGUGAAGACGAUUAGCAAAAAUCUUUUUCCUUUUCUUUUUUUUUUUUUUUUGGCAAGAAGGGUAGUUUAGGAUAUAUGAAGGAAAAUGUAGGCUCUUGGGUCUAUUUUGAAGCAUAAAUAGUGAAAGCAGGGGUGGUGGUGUAAUUUUUAAAAUUUAAGGGGAGCUCUCUGAAAUUGUUUGAAACCUCAGGGGAGGUUUCUGAAAUUAUCCCCAAAAAAUUUCAGCAUUACUAAAGUAAUUGUAUUGUGUUUAAACAACUUGUUUAUUUGCUUUUUCCUCUUUCACAUCUACUAACAUUUAUCAUUGUAAUCAUAUUUUACAUGUAAUAACGUGCAAAACAAAACCAUCGUAGUUAGCAAUUACUCCACUUCAUAUUUUAGUCCUUUUCCAAUUACUCAUGGUCACCAUUGCUAGAGUUAGGCAUUAAUUUUAAAAAUUGUAUCAAGUAUGUGAUCCGUUUUCUCUAUUGUCCAAUAAAAUGUCCUCACUAAUUAGUUUUCUUUUUCCAAUUCACUUUAUCCGCAUAAAUGAAAAUAAUAUUAUUCGUCGUGGAAUCACAUUUUUUUUAAGUGUAUUUGUGUUCUAUCAAUAUUCAGUGACAAAUACAAAUUUACAUUCAUUUGUCUCUUCUUUCAAUCUCCAAUGCACAAAUUUAAUAAAAUUAUAUAUUAUUUUAUUUCUUAUAUUCACUGAAUUAUACAACCAUGUACUUGUAACUUUUGCCUAGCAUAAUGAACAUUGUCUAAUGUAAAGGGCUCUAUUACCAUAUAUAUAUAUAUAUAUAUGUAGAACUCAAAUUUUUAAAGAUUUCUAUUAGUGGCAACACCUGCAGUUAAGAUCUUAUAAAUUCUCUUGACUCUUAUAGAUACUCUUAACAAGAUUUAUUAACUAAUGUUUUAUAUAUAACCUACUAGACUUAUUGUGUAAGAAAUCACUUACGCAAAAAAUUGCUAAAUAAAGUAUAAAUUCCUAAAUUACAUAACUACUAAAAACCUGAUUCUAAAUAAAACUACUAAAUGAUUAGACAAAAACUUGUAGUCUUGAUUCAUUUGCCAGCAAAUCAAUCAUAUAGUAUUUGUUAGCCACUAAUUUUGUCAACCCAUAUCAAGUCUUUUACGUGCCACCAAUAAUAGCUCUUUUAUCGGCAUUGACCUAUUACCCAAUUUGAACUUCAUCCCUGCAAGAAGCACGACGAUCUAAUUUGGACAACAAAGAACUCGAUCAGGGUGGGUGGGGGGAACCAGAAGAGAUGGGACCUUAUGGCCCUGCUCGCCAACUCAGUUAUCUUAGAGUUAAUUGCAAGAAAAUCUCGUCCAAAACGUGCACAUCGUGUUUUGCCUUGCCAUCUAAUCUUCUUCUUCUUUUUUUUUUUUUUUUGCUUUGCUCUCUAACCUGACUGUUCUGACACCAGAAAUAUUUGUAAAUUUAUUUCUUGCCCAUUUGAACAAACUUGAAAAUAUAAAAAAAAUGACCUCUUUUAAUGCAGUAUCAAUUACUUCUGGAAAGCAACUUUGCUAUAAAACGCAACCACCGAUACCCCAGUCACUAUUUAUUUGACACAAUAACAAUAAAUCUUUUUUCUACGCAUGCUUCAUGUCAUAAUCAUCGAACUUUACAUGAAGUGUUCAUCAAAAUUGGUCUCCCAACUUUGAUCUUAUCAGCUCAUUCUACCAUUUAAUGCGACCGAAAAGAAAGUGAAACCAUCCCCGGCCCAAAUCUGCCCGAAUACCAUCAAAUGAGUAGCCUACAUGAAUGUGUUAUGUACUACAAUCUUUUUCCUACUGCAGCUUGAUGAAAAUGGGAAUUAGUUUUACCCUUCAACUCGUACAGACCAUCAACUCGUAUAGACAAUCAAUAUACACAAAUUUUCUUUUACUGCAGUUUCUACAUUGAUCUCCUUUUUCUAAUAUUAAGUAACACGAUGAAUUAAUCUCUUAAACUUCCAAAUUGCAGUAAUUACAGACAGAUGUUUGCCAACUUACAACUACAGCUUCGCUAAAUUUCUCAAAUGUAGGUAUGAAACCAGAGAAUUCUAGUAGGGUUAAUUAGAAAUAUCCAAAAAUAUUCAGGCAAUUCAUAGAAUUAUACUUAUUAAAGCAUGUCCUAAUAAUUAUAGUGGAAGUAGUUUAAAAAAAAAGGAAUGUUGGGAACAAAUUAAGCUAAUUAAAAAUAAUCAUUGUCUUUGUCAUACCUAACAAUUUCAUUCAAAAAUAAUUAUUGUCUUUUUCAUACCUAACAAUUUCAAGUUAAUUAAAUUACGGCUUUUUUUAAAAAAAAAGAUAGUAAGACAACAUCGUAUAGUUUAGCUUAUUAAACAUUCAGUUUUAGAUGUUUAUCAAACAUUAUAGAUAGAUUCAGUAUUAAGAUUCAGAUAUUUAUAUAUUUCUUUUCAGCACUUAAAAUUUAGCAAAUUAAUUGUUUCAAUAUUCAGUUUCAGAAUUCAGAUUCAAUUUUAUCAAAUAGGAUCUUAGUGUGUACUCCUAAUUGUAAUUGAAUUUGAUAUUUUAAAAUUGACAUUCAAUACAAACUUCUAUGUUUAACUAAAUUUGAUUUUUCAAAGCCACAAUUAAUACAAAAUCUCAAAUUUAACUAAAUUUGAUUGUAAAUCAUAUUUAGUACAAGAUGUUAAUUUUAACUAAAUGUGAUUUUAUAAAUGUGACAUUCGCUACAAACUCUUAAUUUUAACUAAAUUUGAUUCUCUGAAAGUCACUUUCAUAAAAAAAUAAAAAAACAAUUUUAACUAAACGAGAUUUCCUUACAUUCACAUUCUAUACAAACUCACAGUUUUAGCUACAUUUGAUUAUUUGUUGAAACGUGAUGCAACAUGUUUGGUAUACGUAACUUGAUGGAACAAAUUUGUGCGUUUGAUAUUUUGUUUGAUCAAUGUUUCUAAACAAACUUGAAGUAACAUAUUUGCGGACGUGCUAGUGUACAAGUCAAUAUUCCUAGCUACUCAAUUUGUCAGGAUCAUAAUCUGUUUUAUCUUAAUUUGUCAGGAUCAUUGUCUGUGUUACUCAAUUUGUCGUUGCUGUUUAGUUCAGCAAAUGUUACUCCAAAUCCUAGGCACAUGAAACAAAGAAAAUUAUACUUCUUUUUUGGUACAAAAAGAAAAAUUACACUUCAAUUACUGCAUUAGUAUAUGGUAUUUUACAAAAUUGGUGACAGAAAGAAUAAGUUGUGAUGCAUAUGUCAUCUUACGCACCUUAAUAUGCAACACUGGUCUGGAGUAAAUAAAAAGGAGAAUUUAUGUAAUCAAAAUAGCAAUUAAUCAAUCUUAGAAUUUUAGUAUUGAGUUAGUUUUUGUUACCUAUUGCAUAAGUCCAAUGCUUGACGGAGCCCUCAGUUUUUCGAUCGCCUUCGUGAAGAUUAACACCAUGUACUUUGUCGGAGCAAAGAUUUGGAGGUUGGUGUGCUUUACCACCAAAGCUAUGGAAGAAUUCAUCAGGAUCAGGCUUGACCUUUAUCUCAGCUUCUAAAUUUUCCAGCCAGAUUUGGACUAUCCAUAAUUGGUUGAAGUAAUACUGAAAAACAACUAUGCAUUUUUUGCUAGUAAAUGUUGUAUCAACUCAACUGGCUCAACCAACGUUUAUAGGAUCAAUUUUCAUGUUGCAGUAGCAUUAAGAUUAUUACGUAGAUGAAGUCCACAUUUUGUGCUUAAGAUCUCAAUUGGAGAAAACUUUCAGAUGAUAGUAUUUACUACUUGCGUAAUUAGCUUGAUAAUUUUAUUAGAGGGGUAAAAAAUGUCGUAGCAUCGGUUCACUUGGUAGUAGACAAAUUUUUUUUUCCCAAGUUCUACAAUGUUUUUUGGAUGAUUGGAAAAGGAAUUCAGAGUAUGUUGACAACUUUUUUUUUUAAGGUAGUCACUCGUAUUGUUGCAAGAAUGGAAAUAAAAAAAAAAAAAAAAUUGGCCCUUCAAACCAAGAAACUGUACAUUCAUCCACUUCAUGAAUGGUGAAGCGCAAUAGAAAGUCGUCUAUUUUUUUUUACUUUUUACUUCUUCUCCUUACUUUGUUGGAUACUCAACAACACGAUGGUUUUGCUGAACAACACCAUGAAAGCAACUCUUCGGCCAUUUCCAUGUUGAAAAUUUCAGAAUGGAAACCUCAAUUGUUGCAAAGUCGAUGCUUGACAACUUUAAGGUGGCAUAAAGUGACUAUCAUGAAAGUUCAAAAUACAAGUGAGAACUAAUGCUAUAGUACAAAGAAACAACUUCAAAAUGGCAGCUGCUAAUAAUUGUCAUCAUACAUAUGCAACAAAUAUUGAAGACCUAGGAUCAAUUGGCAUACACAGGGAUAAAGAUCUUACUGAUGAAUUGAUCCAUGUAGCACAAAGAUAUGCAUCUAAUUCGAUUACAUUCUUUAUUUUUUGUUUUGCUUUUCCGUGCAAUUUUAUUGUACUAAUUCCUUUUACUGCUGCAGAAAUCUAUAUGCUCCAUUAAUUACAAGCAUAUAUAUUAGGCCUUGAUAAGUGAAGCGUCCACAUCCUUCCCCAUAUGAAGUAGCCAGUCCAGAUAUUUAGUCGGACUAGGCAUAUUCUCGUUCAGUUUUUCAUAGUCAAUGGUAUAUUUGGCAAAGCUGGAGACACCUCUGGAGAUAACUUGUAACGUUAUUAUAUAGUUCUUGUAGUGCUUCAUGCAAUCUCCAUCUAUUGCCUCAGAAGUAAUUGUCUUGUUCUCCUCGUCAAUUUUGAGCCUGUCUUUGAAGACCUCAACUUUGCCAUCUAUAUUUUCAUCACAAGGAGAUUCAUCAGUAGCUAUCAGGCUCUAUUUGCCACAUUUUGGUAAAAAUUCAAUGCAAAAUGAAAAUUCCAGUGGGAAAAAAAAAUGAAUUAGGAAAAGUUCCAUGCUUCACAACACCAAACUAAGUUACAAUAUACACUCCUUAUCCUUGAUGUCUUUCUAAUUUUCUUAUGUAAAAAUUAAACAAUUGGUCAGGUAUGCUAACUACUUCACAAGCAAGGGCACAAAAAACUCAUAAAAAUGAAAGGGGUAAAUGGACAUCAAGACACGAGUGGAAUGGUGGCUUCACCUAUGACAUAAGUCCACAGCUUGAUAGAGCCGUCAGUUUUCCAGUCACCUUCGUGCACUUCAAUCCUGUUAACUUUCUCAUUCACAAGAUCUGGGAGUUGGUGUGCUUUAGCGCCAAAGCUAUGGAAGAACUCAUCAGCAUCAGACUUCAGCUCGAAUUCAGCCUCCAACUUACCUACUAAAUUAUUAGCCAUAGGAGAAAGUUUCAAGAAUUGAUUAAAAAAAAAACUACUAAUAACCUUGAUAAUACUAUGUAUUAUGCAACUCAGUCACACCUGAUUUAUAGAUGCUUCAUGAAUUGGUUGGCUCCCACAAGUUAGAAAUGUGCGGUUCUCUCUUUCUUUGCUGCAAAACACACGUUGCGAUGUGUUUUCAGGCAACCACACAUUUCUAACUGCGAAUUGCACUGUGAAAUACUAUUGAUCAUAUGGGAUUUACUUUGCUGUCUGAUCCCUUAUCCAUUGAAAGCAGAAAUCAAAGUUGCUGUACAUUCCAAUUGAUAAUUCCUCGGGCAAGUUUUCUUUAUUUUGCUAAGCUGUGCAUCUAGGGCAUCAUGCCAAUUAAAUUCAACCAUAGAGAGAAUAAUUUCCACUUUGCGUCCACAAUGUUUUAAUAGAUUUUCAGUCUGCACUUGAAAAUUUUAAUUUAAAUACUUUAUCAUAUUGGAAAUUACAUAUAUUUUUCUCUUAAAAAGUAAAAUUACCGUCGUUAAACUACAUUAUGUUUUACCACAAAUAUUUUUGUAAUCUUUUGGUAACUCUAUGGUUUAAUCCAGAUAUAAAAUGGGAAAAUAUACAAAUGGAGCAUCGUUGAAAGGACAGGAAAUUAACUUUUGGUAUGCAACUCCAAAUAAUGUAGCUAAGAAGCCAAUAUUGCUUUACACCAGUUAUUUAUAUUCAUCUACUUUUUACGUACCUGUACACAUUUGUUAUUCCAAUGCGCAAGUUUUAGAGUACAUUUUGACGAACAAUAGUUGUGGAGAUUCCUGCUUGUUUUGUUCACCUCUUUGGGGACAAUUAAUUGGCAGGAAGUCAAGAUAUGAUAACUGAUUAGGGAGAGUCUAGGGACAUCAUCUUAAUUUGCUAUGGUCGAUAUUAAAGUCCAUCUCACCAUAUCUCUAUCAUACAUCUCAGGACGAAAAAGCAACAUUUUACUAAACUGCAUGGCGAAAUUUUGAUCUAAACUAAGUUUUUUCUUGUGAAAUUGUGAUCUAAAUUAAGUGUUUUUCGUGUUCUUUUGUUACAUAAUCAAUCAGCGUGUUUGUUAUUAAUAGGUUGCUUUUCAAAUUUACAUAGUUGUUUAUUGUGAUAGAAUUGCACUUUCAAUUACAAAGUUGGUGUCAAGAAAACUAUCAUGUUUUUUCCCCCUUCAUUUGUAAGUACCGGGGCCUGCAUUUGCUGCCACAAAUUAUGGCUAGAGAGGCAAUAAAAAUGCAUGCCCAAGAUUCUGUAUGUUACUAAUUACUUUUUUGUGUUUGACUUAACACUCAUAAUAAUUGGAGAGAAAUUGGUACCUAUUUUUGGAAGAAAUUACCGUAAUUGUUUUCCAAUUCUCAUUCAAGACUUGAAUAAAUGCUUCACCAAUACGACUUCUAUUUCAACUAUAUGUUUAGAAGAUUUUUUUUUUUUUUUUUUGGGUCAGUUGGCAACAUCUACCCUAUCUUUACACUAAUCUGUUCAAGGAGAAGAUCCAACCUAUCCAAUAAGGGCUAGAAGGACAAAUUAAGUUCACAUCUCUUUUUUUACCACUGCAUCUUAUGUUUUGCCCUUUGACUAACACCUGGAGCUUGUUGGUUAGAAAAGUUUGCUUACUUGAUACGUAGAUAUGGAUUUGUGUCAUUUUAUUUUUGAUCAUUUUGAUACGUAGAAUUACUAACACACAUAAAAAUUACGACCAAGCAUUAACUCGAUCGAGAGCUUAUUCUUAAAAGCUUCGCUAAGCUCACUUCUAUUCUAUUACAUUCAUUGUUUUUUUCAAACGUAUAUGGUAUCCAAGUCAAGAUAGCUAUAUAUAGAGAUAAAUAUUUCAUAUAUAAAAAGAAUUUUCAUAUAUAAACUUAUUUUCGUGCUUUGAGAAGUGAACCAUCCACGUACAUCUUUGAAUAUAAUAAUAUGGAUGAUACGACAAAAUUGGAAAAAUUAAUACAAAUUAAAAGAAAAAAUGUCCCUUAAUUCUCAUGGAUGAUACGACAAAAUUGGAAAAUAAUAAUAUGGACUUAAAAGAGUAUCUAUUGCAAAAUCAUAGUAAUUGAACCUUCAAAAAAUUAAGUAAAGAGUUGCCUUAAUUUGUUAUUUACCUACUGCAUAAGUCCAUAGCUUGACAGAGCCAUCACUCUUCCAGAACAUCAAUUAAUGCCGUGCACUUUCUCAGAGCACAAAUUUGGAAGCUGGUGUGCUUUACCACCAAAGCUACGAAAGAACUCAUCAGGAACAUACUUUAUCUUUAUCUCAGCUUCCAACUUUUCUGCUGUGUUAGCCAUAGUUGUUUCUAGGUCUCAUGCUCACAAAUUAUGCUACUGAUCAGCAAGAACCUUGACCAAUAAUCCAAUGCAUUAUGCAAUUCAAUUUCUUUACCACCUGAUUCGUAGAUGCUUCACGAAUUCGUAAUAGCGCCCACAAUUUAGAAAUGUGCGGUUCUCCAUUGUCUUGGCUGAUCAAUGACAUAAAUCCACAUGUUGCAAUAUCUUUUCAGGCAAAUGAUAUGCUAGCUGCAGGGUUUAGCCAAUAUGCAUGUCACACUUGAUUAGUAGUUAGAUCGGCAAAUGAUGCACUCCUAUCUCCAAAAGAGAAUUGCAAUGUGACAUAAUGAUGCGGGAUUUGCCUUAGUUUAAUUGAGUUGAAAGAUGGUACAACAAAAAUUUAGAUAUGAUGCAACUAAAUUAAAAUAUAAUGUAAUAAAAUUGAAAUGAUCCUUUUACCCCCGAAAUGAAAUGAAAUGGAACUUUUGAUUGCCCAGAUCCUUAACGAUUCAAAUUAAGAGGGAAUGGCACAAAACACUAGCGUAACUUAGAGGACAGUUUUGACUUUGCAUAGGUAAUGUUUUUUUUUUUUUUUUGUGGUGGUAACCUUCUGGUAAAUCUAUGCUAUGAUCAAAACCCAUAAUGGGCAGAUAUACAAACUGAGUAUCAUUAAGAAGAAGUGAGUUUAACUUUUGAUAUGCAACUCAAAAAAUAUAUAGUUAAGAAAUUGUUGUUGCUUUACACUUGUUAUUUAAAUUGUGUACACUUGUUACGUACGUUUGUACAUUUAUUGCUCCCAUAUAUGCAUUAUAGAGUACAGUUAUAACUAACGGUGUGGAGAUACUUCACCUAUGGAGUAGUGUCUUUCUGAUGGUUUAGUUAUAAUAACUGAAGUAGGGACAAAAUCAUAAUUUGCCAUAGCCCCCAAAUUUCCACAAUAAAUCGCAGGAGAUAAUUAAAGCAAAAUUUUUAUUAAAUUACAUGAUGAAAUUGUGAGCUAAAUAGAGCAAUUGCUCAUGUUCCUUUGUGUACGUAACCAAUUGACGUGUUUGGUAUCAAAAGAUUGCUUAUACAAUUUAGAGAUCCUAAGAAACAAAAAACAAAAAACAAAAAAAAGAGGUGUUUAAAGAGAGAAAACUUAGAGAGAUCCUUGAAAUUUGAAGGUUCAUUAGGGGUCAACCAGUGAGCCCAAAAAAAAAAAAAAACUAAGACAGAUAAAAAGCCACACGAAACCUUCGUUUUAUUUAUUUUUUUUAUCAGCAAACGUACAACGGUUAACACUCAUAUGAAGUACAACCAAGCCUUGACAGGAUAGCUCCAUUUUAGAGGCUUUUUUUUUUUUUUGAAGGACAUUUUAGAGGCUUCACUAACCCCAGACAAUGGGGUAUAUUUAGAGAUUCUCUUACAUUAACUUAUAUUGUAUAACAUUCUUUGUUUCUUUUUCUUUUCUUUUUUUCCCCGGUAACCCGAGCCAAGAUGGCAAUCAUAUGGUAUCUAUAGAUAUAUUUAUUUUCGUGCUUUGAGAAGUGAAGCAUCCACAUCUUUUGCAGCAUGAAUUAGCCAGUGAAGGUACUUAGUUGGAGCAGGAUCAUUCUCCUUGACGGUCUCAUACUCAAUGCUCCAGUGGGCAAAGUUUGAGACACCUUUUGAAAUAACCUGCAACUCAACCUUAUAGCUCUUGUAUUGUUCCUUAAUGUCUCCUUCAAUUGCUUCCAGAGUUACUAUCCUGUUCUCCUCGUCCACUUUAAAUCUCUCUUUCGCAGUUUCAACUUUCCCAUCUGUGUGAAUUUUCACCAAAGUAGAAAUUAAACAAAUAAUCCAGCAAAGUCAAAAGCACUUUUUGGAUCUUCUCCGGUACUAAAAUUAUUUGUCGAUCACUAAAGACAAACAAAGUAAUACGCCCGAACGAUGCAUAUGCAUUAAUGAUUUUCCUAGAAAAUGAUUUAUACAAAUUAAAAAAAAUGUCCCUUCGCAAGGAUGACACCCUAAAAUCGAGCAAUAAUAUUAUAUAUACAUAUACAUACAUACAUACAUACAUACAUAUAUGUGUGUGUGUGUGUGUUACAAAAUCAUAACAAUUGAAACUUCAAGAUCGAGUACAGGGUUGGCCUUUGUUGCUUACCAAUUACAUAAGUCCAAUGCUUGACAGAGCCCUCAGUCUUCCAAUCACCUUCAUGAAGAUCAAUAGCAUGCAAUUUCUCAGAGCAAAGAUUUGGAAGCUGGUGUGCUUUACCACCAAAGCUAUGGAAGAAUUCAUCAGGAUCAGACUUGAUAUUUAUCUCAGCCUCCAACUUUUCUGCUGUGUCAGCCAUAGUUGUUUCCAGCCCUAGGUAGUCUCAAAACCACCGACAUUUAUAUAUAGGACCUUGAUCUAGUAGAAUGGAAAUGCUAAUGUAUAUGGACCUUAACCAGUGGACCAACAUUCAUAUAGGAUCAGUUCCCAUACAUUUGUGAUAGCUGGGCUAAUUAAUACCUUCAAUCCCUGUCAAUUAUGUUUAAAAUUUAUGUAGUUAUACCAUCAUACCCCGUAUUUUCAAUUUUAGAUGCUUAAAUUUGAAUGCGCUUACCGCGCUUAAAUUUGUCUUGCUAUAUUCUUCUUUUUGAUGGUCAAGAGAAAAUUUUAUGUCAUCGGUAACAACUUUAAAUAAGAUUAGAUUAAUUAUCUUUGAUAUAAUAAUAAUAGGAGGUAGCCCUCAUAGGGGUGGUCCAGCGGUAAGCGGGCUUUUAAGGAUUCUUGAGCUCCUGGAUUCUAAUCUUACCCUGGACUUAAACCCCUGUGACUCGCCCGGGAUCGCUGCGUGGGGUGGUGGCGCACUCCUCUGGUUUGAUGUGCCGGCUCGAAUCCUAAGGGUUCGAGUCGGGUAUGUUCUGGGUUACAAAAAAAAAAUAAAAAUAAAAAAUAAUAGGAGGUAAAGUGUCAUAUAGUAAUUGAAGAAAAUUCAUUGCACCGUACACUUCUUUAUAGACCAAAUUCUAUCUUUGCACCUGUCUUCACAUAUUUGCAGAAUGAAAGCACUCAAAAAACAAAAAAAAAAAAAAAGAGAAAAGAAAAUGUGAUCUAUUGGCUUAAUUAUUUGAUCACACCAAUUUUUUUUUUCAGCAAAUAGGCCCCAUUCCAUUAAUCAAUCUUUAGUCACAGCUCACAAGUCUCCUUUUAAAGACCAACCAUGAGAUAAAAUCAAACCUUGGUACAAUUUUCUCACUCCAUACUAAUUAUGCCACACAACCUCAUGACCCUUUGCUCCAAAAGUUCAUCAAUCACAGUUUUAACAACAAAGGAAGCAGUAGGUACCCGCUGGCCACUUCACCUCAUCCAUCAUAAAGCUUUGGUCAAGAAAAAAGCUGGAGUAACAUCAAUCAAGCUGUUUACCUCAUCGGACCUCCUUCUUCAUCAAUGCCAAACCAUCCACCAUCUGAAUGAGGCCUUAAUCUGCUGAUAAUCAUGAGCUCCCAAUUCUAGGAAUAUCUAUUUGUCCAGUUCUUCGCAAUUUUGCUAAUUAAAAGGUUUAGCAAAAUUUCUUAGGUACCUCCUGCGCCAAAAAGCAACUGUAAAGGUUAACAACAAGUGUUUAAACUUCUUAACUUAAGUCGGCAUUUAUAAAGGUUAAUUAACUGGUUUACAUACUUAGAUCAUUUUAUCAAUUCGGUUCUAUAAAAUGUUUUGAAUGGAAACAAUAAUAAUAUCGUUUCCAUGAUUAAAGAAUGGGAAUAAAUUUUGCAUGAUUCAGAAAACAAAUUUUGUUCUGCAGGAUUGGUACCAUGUACUACUAUUUCUCUGUAGUUGUUAGCCGACAUUCUAAGUAAGUACGAAUUUCUCGAACCUUUUUAUGUUAUGGGAAAAAAAAAAAAAAGAGUAGGAAGUGCAACCAAACACCCACACAAAUUUGAUCGGAAAUAGUCCAAAACCAAAGUCCAUAGGACUGAAUAGAUGCAAUGAGUUGGAAAAUGAUAAAUCAGUAACCUAAAGUAACAAACCCCGCUUUAGGUGUUGUACCCAAGCUCCAUGAAUGAUUUACAUGGCAUGCCAAAGUACAAAAAAGGCCCUUUAGGAAACGGACGGAAAACUUCCCAAGGGUGAAAUCAAAGUCCUUUUUGUUAUAUAUGUAAGAUUAAGGAUAUAUCUUUUAUAUAUAAUAUAUUCACUUUCAUCAUUAAAUAUGUUACACAUAAUUUAAAUUUGAAUUUAAGAUUCAAAUUUGUAUAUGUAUUAUACAUCAAAUUAUGAUAGUGUAUGCACUAUUAAUGUACGUAAAAUUCCAGUUAUUAUCUAAUCUUCUUGAUAGUAAAAUUUAACUUUUUCCAGUAUAUAUGAACGUCCAACGUAGGUUAAGUUUAUCAACAACAGACUACUCUUGCAAUCUUCUAUUUCUCUAAAAUUUUAAAAAAAAAAUGAGAGUUGUACGGUGGGAUAAUUUUCCACCACCAUUGUAAAAACUACUAAAAGUGACAUGCAUCAAUGAAAGUUUUCUUUCCUCAAAAAAAAAAAGGACCCUUGCUAAAAUAACACACAAUUAAAAUCACGGAUAACUUUUUAAUAUACAAUCAGCGUAUAAUUUUUUUUACAGUAACAAGUUUAAAUUAUUGCCACAUAACAUGAAUUCAAAUUUGAAAUUUAAAUUAUACACAUGUGGUAUUCAUUCGAAACUGUUACUAUAAAAAAAUCAAUACACUAUUAGAACAUAAAAGUUAAUCCUUAAAAUCAGUGCUGUUGAUCUUAGUCCUUUUUGUGUGAUCUGGGAAGGUAUGCAUCCACGUCUCUAGAGAAACUUAUCAAAAAAUCAAGAUGAGAAUGCGGGGGUUGGGACAUCAUCAUCUGCUUUCUCGCGCUCUAGAGUCCAUUUCACAAUGUUUCUAUCAUCUUGGGGAUUUGCGUCAAGUGUUGCUUUGAAACUCUUGAAUUGAUUGUGACUUCACCUCUAUAAGCUCGAUUAUGAUCGUUUUGUUUUCCAUGUCAGUAGCAUCAAUCUUGUCUUUUGCAAUCACAGGACCGCCUGUUUUAGCAAAAGAUAGGUCUAAUUUUAAUUGGAAAAAAAUGUAGAUAUCAAAAUGGUGGAAUUAAAACAAACAUACAUAAGCUUGAAUCAGUCCACAAAAUAAAAAUAAGUGAAUAAAGAGUUUAAUUUGUUAAGGGAAAUUAUUACAAGAUAAUAAAACUGUGUUCAUCCUAGAGUCAAUUAUUCAUCCUCAUAUUUUUCAGUGAACUGUUAUCAUCAAAUUUUUAGGGGCAUCUCCUCUUACGACGAAAAUAGAUGAAAAGACCCCCAUUUUUUUUUUUUUUUAAGUCAAGGGCUUGAGUCAUUUCACGAGAAGAGAUAAUGUUUUUCAUUGUCUCUUCUGAAAUGACUUGGAAUUUUCAUUGUCUAACUAAGAAUUUAGUGAGUUACUUAAUAAGUAAAAGUCCAGGACAUUAAUUUCAGGUACAAAUAGUUGCUCCCAAAACUUUUCUCAAAUUUGAACACAGUAUUCCCAAAUGCUAUCACAUGUAUCCUUUUUUUUUUUUUUUCAGUUUUUUCCCUAAAGAUAAGUUACUCAGUAAUUACUUUCUUCACCCAAGACAUUAGAAGUGUUUGCUUGGCAGUUGCCAGUAUUGGAAGAAAUACCACAGUUGUUGUAUAAUACCAGUAGUCAUUUUCUGGCCAUAUGAAUACACAUGAUGUUUUAACUUCUGCCAAUGUACAGAACACCUUCAAUAGCUGAACUAACAAUUGUAUGGUUGAAAUCCUAACGCUUGUCUAAACAGACAAGACAUUAAAUUGUUCUUAAUUGCGGUGGUUGUUGUAUUGCAUCUAUCAAAAACUGUGGUAUAUUAAAGCACACUUGGAGAAAUUGUAUCCAGAAAUUUGUAUAUCAAAAAAUCCAAGCACUUGGAGAAUAUGAGGAACUGAUCAAUCGCUUUAUGUCAUUUUUAGCCUCUUUGUUAAUGUUCUCAGUUUUUGUUUCUAAAUUUAUGAAAUGCAAUUGUAAUUGGAGGAAGGUUUUUUACCCCCCAGAAAGUUUCCUUCUUCUUACAAAAUUAGAGUGGCCACUCGAAUUUUUUUAAAAAAAAAAGAUAUUUAGAAAGAGUGAUUAUCCUAUAAAAAAAAUAUUUGAAUAUCGCAAUAAACACAUAUUUCAUACAACCAGUCUAGAUCAACUGAGCGAAAAAUAAAAUUAAAAAAAAAAAGGCAAUACUAUGGCAAGGCAAGGUGAUUUAGUUAAUAAUAAUAGUACUUACCCAUGACACAACUCCAAAAUCUGAUAGAGCCAACACUGUUUCCAUCACCUUCGGUCCUUCGAGCACUUGAAUGCUUUGCAGUUUGUCAGGACUAAUCUUGGGCACGCGGCUGGUUUUGUUCUGGCAAACAUCAAAUACCCUCUCGGGAGAAGAUUUUAUUUCUGUCUGGAGCUCAAGCUUACGAAGUUGAGCCAUUGUUGUACUACUAUUUUCUUGACUUUUUUGGGCUAUGUAAAAAGGAAUAACUUUGCUAACUUGAUAUCAAGACGUCUAGAAUGUGGCCUAUUAGUAAUGUCAAAAGAAGAUUGCCUGCUUUAUUAGAUGAAUCAUUCCAUACUGGUUUUGGGUUCCAAAAGAAGCUAUAAAGUACAAAAUAAUUUCAGAUUCAAAAAACGCACCUUAGCUUAUAAUAAUGGUACCGCAUGCGGUACAACAGAAUCCCUAAUAAUCGAAUGACAUUAAUAACACUAAACUCAUUUAUAUUUUCAUAUUUACCGGUCAAUAAUCAAAUGGUUAACCUGGUUCUUGAUGUAGAAAUAUCUAGAGAUGGCAAAAGAUCAGGUUUGGGGUGGGAGAUGACCCUUUUUACAAAAAUUCUCCUCGCUCUCUGCCCCAUCCCCCGCACGCCCUGCCCUAUCCCACUAUUAAUUUUAUUUUGAUAAAUUACCUUUUAUCUCGAUAUGAUUUGGUGUUUUAUCACGUAGCUCUUUUAUGAUUUAGAAAUCUAUAUAUAACUCUCUCAUGAUAUACGUUAAAGUGCCAUCAUUAAACUAAUAAAUUGACAAAUUCACCAUUUCGUCACUUUUUUUUUCUUUUUUCUUUUUUCCUUCUCUCUCUCUCUCUCUCUCUCUCUCUCUCUCUCUCUCUCUCUCGUCAAGAGACGAGAUGAUUUUGAAAACUUAUAUUUUGGCCUACAAAAUCUUAAUUUUCUUCAAAUACAAAAGAGAUAGAAGAGAAAUAAAAAGUAAAUAAAUAAAUAAACAAAAAAAGAUGGAAGGAAAAUAUAAAACAAAUAAAUAAGAAACAAAAAAUAUCAAAUGCUUUUUUUACUACAAAUAUCAUUAUAGGUUUUUAAACGAAAUCUUAAUGGUAUUUACUAGUUCUUAUUUAUUUAUUUUUUAUUUCAGUUUCUGCUUUUUUAUGUUUGGAGGAAAAAAGAAGUAAUGAAAGUGUAAUUUUAUCAAUCUAUUAAUUUGACUUUGACUUUGACUUUUUAUUAUUGAUCAUUAGUUUUAAUAGAAAUAUUAAUGAUGAUACUUUAACUCAAUCCACGAAGGAGUUACAUAUAGAUUUUUAAACCAUAUGAAAGUUAUAUGAUAAGAGUAAAAGUUUUCUCUUCUGUAUUGGGAAUAUUGAGGGUUCAAUCAACAAACAAGUUCGGUAAAGUUCUCUCUUUAUUGUAAGCAGUUCCACCAUUUUGAAAAUAUUAUCUUCUGUCCUAAUCAAAAUUUAAUUUUUGCGUAAACAAACAAUAAGAAAGAAUUCUUCAAACCUUAUUUUUUGGUUACCAAAAUGUUGAGUGGGAGCACCAUUUGACUUUUAUCUCGUUUUGAAAAACCUGCUUAGCAAUUGACUCAUCUCUUGUUAGUUUUAUUUGUUAAUUACCAAGAAAUUAAGGCAGAUCUAUAAAAAUCCUUGAUACAACGACACGGGUACCAACAUGUCGGCUGCCUUUUUUCUUUCUUAAGUGAGAGGUCUUAAAUUCAAAGUUUCUUAUUUAUACCUCCCAUUUAGAAUCUCUCUACAGUAUAAGAUAUUGUGAUGAUUUUGACAAGUUGGUAAACUGUGUAUAUUUGUCAUGCAAGUGAGCAUAUUUAUUUUUCCCAUAUAUAUGUGUUGUAGAUAAAUCGAACCGCUCGCGAGCGGCUCGAGUCGAAUUCAAGCUGGUCGAGUCGAAUUCGAACUCGAACUCAAGUUUAAAAUAUUGAGCUCGUUAGUUCUCGAGAUUGAGUAGAUAUAUAUUUUUCGAGCUAUUAUAUAUAUAUAUAUAUAUAUAUAUAUAUAUAUUUUAAAAUAUUGAGCUCGUAUAGUAAUAUUUUUUAUUUUUUAUUUUUCGAGCUAUUCAAGCCGAGCUCAAGUUUCAAAAUUAUCAACUUAUCGAUCUCGAACUCGAGUUAGAGUUCGAUAAAACUAAGUCAAUGCUCGAUUCGAUUUGAUCAAAUCUUAAUUCAUUUUGAUUCGUUUGCAGCCCUAGUUGUAAACUACAAUAUAACUAACGUUGUGGAGAUAAUUCACCCCAGUAUUGUCUUUCUCCUCGCUUAGUUCGCCUCUCUGGCGACAUUUAGCAGGAAGUCAAGACAGGAUAACUCGAGCAGAGUAGAGCAGGGACAAUUGAUCUGAACAGUGUAAUAUUUUUUGAACGUUUUAUAAUUCUAUAUAAACUUCUUAUACAUCCUUACAAUAGAGGUGUGAUAUUUUGUUACUAUUUAUGUGAGUCUCAUAUGUAAUAAUUGUGUGUUUGGUGUUAAAUUUUAUAACUAGUUCAUGUAGAAUUACGCCUUAUUCAAAAAUAUUAUUUCAUUCAGAACGAUUGUUAUUAACAACCAUCGGGGCCAUUAGUCCGCCGACCAAGAAGGUAUGACAACUGAGCAGGGACACAAUCAUAAUUUGCCAUGGCCCCUACCAAAGUCCAUCUCACCAAAUUUUUUUUUUUUUUCCUCACCAAAUUUCUACGAUAAAUCUCAGGAGAUAAAGCAAAUUUUUAUCAUAUUACUUGACGAAAUUGUGAGCUAACUAAAGUUUUGCUCAUGUUCCUUUCUGUACAUGAUCAAUUAACGUGUUUGUUAUCAAAAGAUUGCUCAUACAAUUUACAGAUCCUAAAAAGCACGAGGCGUUUAAAUAGAGAAAACUAAUGACAUCCCUGAACUUUGAAGGUUCAAUAUGGCGAACCAGUGCAGUGAGCAUUUAUAUCUUCAUCAAGCCAAAAAAACACUAAUAGAUAUAAAGCCACACAAAACAUUCAUUUUAGAUUUUAUCAUUACACGUAGAAUUGAUAUAAAUUACAACGAUGCACUGGCAGGAGAGCUUAUUUUUAGAGGCUUCACUAAGCCCAGACAAUGGAAUACCUUUAGUGAUUAUCAUAUAUUGUAUUACAUAUCUUUUUUUUCCCCUAGUAUUAACAUGUAUAUGGACCUUAACCAUCGACCGACAUUCAUAUAGGAUCAGUUCCAAUUUUCUGUGCAUUUGUGAUAGUUGGACUAAUAUCUUCAAUCUUUGUCAAUUAUGUUUUAAAUUUAUGCAGCUGUACCAUCAUACCCCAAAUUUUCAACAUUGAUUAGACUUAAAUUUGAUUAGGUUUAUUGCGCUUGAAUUCGUCUUGCUAUCCUUUGCUUUAGUCAAGAGAAAAUUGUGUGUCAUAAGUACCAGCUUUUAACUAAUUUCAAGAGUUGGGUAGUUAACUAAUCUAUGAGGUUAGGAGCUGGGUAGUUAAAUUCUCAAAUUUAUCUCAAGAGUUGUCGUCUUUUGAGAUUAAAUUUGAGAUUAAAUUUAACUAAUCAAUUUCAAAAAUCUGAAAAAAAAAAAAAAAGUACCAGCUUUUAAUGAGAUGUGGUCAAUUAUCUUUGAUGUAAAUAUAGGAGACAACUAGUCACAGAUUCAAAUUAAGGGGCAGAUAAAGUGUCACAGCAAUCGAAGAAAACUCAUUGUACCAUAUACUUUUUAAUAGACCAGAGAUUCUAUCCUUCCACCUGUCUCCAUUUAUUUGCAAAAUGAAAGUAUUAAUGAUUUGAUGUCACCUAUUUUCAGCAAUUAGAUCCCAUUUCAUCAAUCAAUCUUUCAGUCACAAGUCUCCUUUUUCAGACCAACCAUGACAUAGGAGCAAACCUUGGUACGAUUUUCCAAUUCCAAACUGAUUAUGCCACACAACCUCAUGGCCAUCUGCUUGAAGUUCAUCGAAUACAAUAAUUUUAUCCACAAAAGAAAGCAGUAGGUGCCCAGUUCAUCUCAUCCUUGAUGUAAAGUUUUGGUCAAGAAAAUUGCUGGAGUAACAUCAAUCAGCCUCUGAAAAUAACCACAUCACACCUUCUUCUUCAUCAAGGCCAAUCCAUCCACCAUCUGAAAAUAAAUAUUUGUCCAAUUCUUCGCAAUAUUGCCAAUUAAAAGGUUUACCAAAAUUUCUUGGCUACAAUGUUUUUCUCCAGCACCAAAAAGCAUCUGUAACUCCCAAAUUGAGUUCUUUGUUUUUUUAAUCUAUGAAGUAUCCCUUUUUCUGAUAAAUAGACAAGAAGUUAAAUCAUGGCAACAUUUAUAAAGGUUAACUGGUUUACGUGCUUAGAUAUUUUUAUCAAUUCGGUCCUAUAAAAUGUUUUGAAUGGAAAUAAUAAUAUCGUUUCCUUGUUUAAAGAAUGGGAAUAAAUUUUUUCAUGAAUCUGAAAACAAAGUUAGUUCUACAAGAUUGGCACUAUGUGCUGCUAUUUCUCACUAGUUGUUUACUAGACGUUCUAAGUAAGUACAAAUUUCUCGGUCCUUUUUUGAUGUUAAAAAUGGAGAAAGGAAAAAAAAAAAGCAGUAGGAAGUGCUUUGUCUGUUGUUACUAAGGAUAUAAUUAGUAUCUAAUCCUCUUGAUAAUAGAACGUUACUUUUUCGAGUACUAUUUCUAUAAAAUUAAAAAAAAAAAAACAUAUGUUUACUUGAACCAAAUUGGCGAGCUACAUCGCUUAGUUUGCCCAUACAAACAACUGAAGUAUCAUAAAUUACGCUUGCGGGAAACCCAAAGGAGUUAUUCGUAUAGUAGAAAAUUUAUACAAUGAAAUUUUAUUGAAAAAUGAAGAAAAAACUCCUUCAUUUUUAUCCCAUGAACAACUUUGUCAUUCCAAACCCUUGGAGUGAACCAAAAUAUGUUCAGUCUAACAUAAGAAGGACUGAAAAGUUUAAGCAACAAAUUUUCUACUGAAAUGUGUAAAAUGAUAUCAAUUAAUUAAGCAAUGCAUCACUCAUGAUUUGAGCUUAAAAGCAUUUGAAUCCCGGGGAUUUAUUAGUUGAGUUUACCAACAAAAAGCGAUUAAAAAAAUUAUGACAUGCCCACGCGAUAGAUAUAUAAAUAUGUAAAUUCCCAAAAUCAAAGAGGUGGAUCAUCAUUUAUUUUGUUUCUGUCGUAUAAGUCAUAUAAUGGCUUAAAGUCGGAUUUUCCCUAUUAGUUUUUCAAACUUACCCCAUCUUUGUUAAUUUUUUUUAUCGUAUAUCAAGUACCUCCACCAAUUUGCACAGACGAAACCAAACCAAAGAAAAAUAAAGACUUUCAUAAUUACAAGCCCAAACCAACAAAACCAUACUUCACAACAACACUGCAAGCAAGAAUGAAACACAUGGACGAAGAGGCAUGCUGUUAAGCAGUUAUCGAAAUAUACACAAAAUCAAAAUCACUGCCGAUGAUCUCAAUUAAUUUUUCUGUGCUUUGAGAAGGUAAGCAUCCACGUCUCUAGAGCAACUUAUCAGAAAAUCAAGAUGGGAAUGUGGGGUUGGGAUAUCUUCUCUUGCUUUCUCGUACUCUAGAGUCCAUUUCACCAUGUUUACAUCGCCUUGGGCAAUUGCCUGGAGAGUGGCUUUGAAGCUCUUGAAAUAGCUUGUAACUUCACCUCCUAUAAGCUCAAAUGUGAUGGUUUUGUUUUCCAUGUCAAUAGCAUCAAUCUUAUCUUUUGCAACCACAGGUGUCUCUGUUUUACCAAAACAUAGGUCUAACUUUAAUUGAAAAUAAAAGUAAAUAUCAAAAUGGUGGAAUUAAAACAAGCAACCAUAAGCCGGAAUUCGACCACAAAAUUUUUAUAAAAAAAAUGAAUAAACCGGUUAAUUUGUUAAGGGCAAAUAGUAAUUUACAAGGCUAUAAAACUAUGUUCAUCCUAGAGUCUGGCCAUUAAUCAUUUGGAGUCCAAGAUAGUCCAGCAUAACUCGAUAUAUUUCUCAGUAAACCGUCAUUACUUAAUUAGUUUUAUGGGUAUCGUUUCGUUACCACGAAAACUGAUGAAAUGAUUUUUUGUUUUUUCUCUUUUCUUAAAAUGCCAUUGACUGGAGUCAUUUCUGAAGAGACAAUAUAAUGAUAGUAACUUUUAAGUCAUCAAAGUUUCCUUUGCUGUAAAAUUGUUUGCCUACAAAUUUUUCUCAAAACAAAAACAGAGUCUUCAUAAAUGCUGUCAUACAUUUGUCUGCUUUUUCUACUACUGAGUAAUUACUUUCUUCACCCAAGACAGUAGAACUAUUUGCUUGCCAGUAUUGGAAGAAAUACCACAGUUGUUGUACAAUACCAGUUGUCAUUUUCUGGCCAUAUGAAUACACACGAUGUUUUAACUUCUGCCAAUGUACAAAACACCUCCAAACAAUUGUCUGGUUGAAAUCCUACCGCUUGUCUAAACAGACAAGACAUUAAAUUGUUCUUAAUCGCGGUGGUUGUUGUAUUGCAUCUAUCAAAACCUGUGGUAUAUUAAAGCACACUGCCCAGGACAAGUUUUUGAUUAAUUUUAUCCAGAAAUUUGUACAUCAAAAAAUCCAAGCACUUGGACAAUAUGAGGAGCUGAUCAAUCAUAUAUUGGUUUUUUUUUUAACCAAAAAAAAAAAAGGCAAUACUAUUGUAAUAUAGUACUUACCCAUGAAAUAGGUCCAAAGUCUGAUAGAGCCAACACUCUUGCCAUCCCCCUCGAGCACUUGAAUGCUUUGCAGUUUGUCAGGACUAAUCUUGGGCAUGAGGCUGGUUUUGUUCUUGUAAACAUCAAAUACCCUAUCAGGAGAUGAUUUCAUCUCUGUUUGGAGCUCAAGCUUACAAAGUUGAGCCAUAGUUCUACUACUAUUUUCUUGACUUUUUUGGGCUACGGAAAAGGGAAAUAAUUUUGCUAACUUGAUAUCAAGACGUCUAGAACGUGGCCUAUUUAUAACGUCAAAAGAAGAGUGUGUGUUUUAUCAGAUUCUCGUGCAUUUGCAUAGCUUUGGCUCAGGCAAUGAUUUAGAUGAAUCAUUCCUUGCUGCUUUUGGGUUCCGGAAGAAGCCACAAGGUACAGACUAAUUUCUGAUUUUAAAAAACGCACCAUGGCUUAUCAUAAUGGUACCGCAUUUGGUACAACAGAAUCCCUAGUAAUCGAAUGACAUUAGCAACACUAAACUCAUUUAUAUUUUCAUAUUUACCAGUCACCAAUCAAAUGGUUAACCUGUUCUUGAUUCUGAAAUAUCUAGAGAUGGUAAGUAGUCGGAUCUGGGGUAGGAGAGACCCUGUUCUACCAAAAAAAAAUAUAUAUUCUCCUCAUCCCCGCUAUUAUUUUUAUUUUUUAUUUGAACUUAUUUUUCAAUAUAUAUAACACUAAUAAUAAUUUUACUAAUAAUUUCUUUUUUGAAAUUUUAGCCAAAAAAAUUGAAGGUAAAGUAAAGUUUAAAUAUCACUUUGAUCUUUUUAAUUUAUUUCUUCAUAUUUGAUACAAUAUAGAAUUUAAACUAAUUGCUACUAUUUCUUUUAAUAAACCUGCAAUAUGUGGAAAAAAAAAAGAAAAAUAAACUAAGAUAAUAAAAUGAUCAUUUUACGACAAUAAAUUGAUAAUAAAAAUUGCAUCAUUUUAUCACAAAAAAAAAAUAUCAUGUCCAUCAUAUAUCAUAUUAUAUAUUAUAUAUGAUAAUAUCAUAGUAUUUAUUUCAUAUUAUACAUAUAUAAAUAUAUUACACAAUUAUCAAAUCAUAAGUGGGGGCUAAAGCAGGAGUAUCCUCUCGCAACCUGUAAUUAAAGUAGGGGGAGAAAAUUCUCCCGACCUCGCCCCCUUCCCUACCCAGCUGCUUCCAGCAGAGCGAUGCCUCCGUUGCCAUCCCUACAACUAUCUUUCCACAGAACAAAAUUGAGGAUCUUUUCUGCUCAUUCUUUUCUGCCCUUCUACUCCGUCAUUUAGUACCAAUGGACAACGAAAAUUAUGGUAACUGAAAACAUAACCAAUACGUCAAGGUACCUAAUGUUUUCUCCCAACAGUAUGGCCAGAAGGGAAUUGGAUUAGAAGCUAGUUGGCCAUUAAUGGAGCACAAUUCUAGAUAUCUUUCCGGAUGAUGAAAACGACAAAACGCAUUUUCCUACAGGUAAAAAAAAAAAAAAUUGAUGGAAUCAAGUUUAAAGGAGCUGCAAUGAAUAUAACCUGGCACAUGGGAAUAUUUGAGGGUUUCAAUCAACAAACAAGUUCCAUAAAGUUUUCUUUUUAUACUGCAAAAGCUAUUCCAUAAUUGUGUAACUUUAGUAAGUUUGAACAAUUGGGGGUUAACCAACUCCCUCUGGAAGGAGUUGACCACCACAUUAAUUGUGUGGCGGGAGAUCAAGGAUUCAAACCCAUAUGAUCUUAUAGUAAUUUAUUCCCUGUCAGGUUCCCUCGACUUAGUUGAAUCACUCCUUUAGAAUAAGCUCCCCCAAUAGGAGUAGAACUAAGCUAGGUUAGACUUAGUUAUGCAUACUCACUAUUCAUUUCUUGGUCUGCUUGAUAAAAUAACUUCAAUUGCAAGAAUCAUUUUCAGAACUGAUCCUCCAGGCAAGUGGAAAAUUGUGGUGGCGUCUCUUCAUAAACCGGCUGAUCACUUCAACGCUUUUUGGAGACGUAUCAAAACACUUGAACUCUACUUCAUUUUGAACUUUAAAUACAUGCUUUACAACUUUGAAGGACCAAACUUAAAAUGAAAUACAGGUUGUGUUUUGUACAGUACUGAAAAAAGAAGCACAACCCAUUCCCUCCCACAUUGGAUGCCUCCAGUUAUCAACAAAAUAAGAGUAAAUACCAAUUUAACAAAAAUAGUGUGGACCCACUGUAAAGGUAAGGAGACUGGGUGAAGGUUAGCACAAAUUGGGGUUGUGGUUUGGCGGCGUUUAGGUUCAACAAAACAUCAGCGCAGUGGCGAACUACAGAUGACAUGAAGCUCAAAACCAAACUGUUCAAUUCAAUGGCAAGUAUGCCAUUUCAUUGCAUGGCCAUCAUCUACAUAAAGAGGAACAUCAGUUGAUCAGAUCUAAAAUAUAAAUAUUCCAAUUUGUUGAUGCCUGUAUUUGUCUAUUUAUGUCACAUAAUUAGUUGAAUGGUCAUAUCUCCAUCUAGUGCGGCCAUACUAAAACUCUCUCUUGCGCAUGCGGCAACAAAACUGUUGUGUAUCCUGGGUCAGGUGUGAAAAUACAAGCUCAAGCUACAAGUCUCACUUCUUUAAUAAGGUACGUGAAUCAUUUCUAGAAUUGACAAGAACUGAAGGGGUAGACAACAUGUUUUCCUUAUCUGGUGGAUCGCCGCCUUUCUCGAUGCUUCUUUCAUCUUUUUGCGAUGUAGUGGAAGACGAUGCUCCUUGUAUCUGUACUGUUAAGCUUCCACCUAAAAUUGAACGGUAUAGAUAUGGUAAGCAUCUUCGCAACAAGUGUUUUGGAGCAUGUGGGGUUAGGGGAGAGCAAAAGCACAGGCAAACUCAAGUUUCUGCGGGGCAAAAAAGAUGUUACUCUGAUGCUCACAAACUGUAAGUGCUAUAGUCAUUUUAAGAACCAGUUGAUUUUCUUAGUCAAUUAACCUGUCCAUUUAAGUAGUUAAAAUGAAAUAGAUGGCACAGACAAUAGCCAGAAAGGAGAUGAGGAAUAGACACACCAGGUACGGAAAGCAAAUCUGAAGAGGAUCAACUUGCCAAAAGCAUCAGUUUUAAAGUUACCAUUGCGAAAUAAUCAGUCACCAGUAAUUUAUUCUGGCAUGUAUUGCUACAAAUGGACAAUCACACUACAAUAUAGGCCACGUCAGAAAUAAUAAUUGUGAAGAUUAGCAAAACAAAAAGCGAUUCACUUGGAAAACUCCAAGGGGUCAACAAAAUGUCCCUGAAGCACUAUAGCAUCACAGAUACCUUGAUGGCAAGACAGCCUGAGUUGUAACAUUGUUAAAAACUUGUCCUUCUUUCAUCAAGUAGUUAUUUUGCUAGAAGUCAAUUAAUUGAGUCAAUUGACUACAUGUUUCUACCAUGCACGGUUGGAUUUUAGAAAUCAUAUAGCAGAUGGAAGAUGUCUUAUACCUAGAACAAGAGCAGCUCCAAUCCAUCCAUUGACACCCCAUCUCUCUCCAAGAAGAAACCAUGCAAAUGCAGCACCCCAGAGCGGCUCCAACCCAUAGAUUAUUGCAGUUUCUGUGGCUGAAACAUCUCGCAUGGCCGCAAUCUGUAUUAUAAUGCUAGGUGAUUAGAUCAAGACUAGCUAGCAAAACCUGCUUAAAGUAGAGAAGAACAAUGAUCUUUGUUUAAGAAUCACCAAUACCGAAUAAGCAUAUAUUGGUUGUCUUGGUUUCAACGAUUUAUUUAUUGAAAAAAAUAAAAAGCUAAAUUUUGCAACUAUAGUUCACAAUCAAGGUCUUUUCUUUAAAAUAAAAUUCAUCUAAAACACUUCAGACAGUCAAACCAAAUUCCAUACCUAUUAGUAUUAUCUAAUAUUGCAGCAGAAAUCAUGUAGUGAAUUAUUCUGAUUUCUACCAAUUAGAAAUUGUAACAAGAAUUGUGGUAUGGAAGUGGUAGAAGAAAAUCAAUAGUUUCUCAUCAUGGGAAGUAACAUCUUAUUAGACAGGUAGUUUGAAUCAUCUACUCUUGGACUGAGAUAGAGAGCACUUGUUUUGAUAGACGAGACAACAGAUAUGAUUGAUGCAGUAAGAAAGAGAAGGAAUUGGAUACCAUUACCAUCACAGACUGAAAAGACAAGACAUAACAAACCAAAACAUUCCAAGGCAAGAUGCUCAAGAACAACCAGUACCUGGCACGCCCUGGAAUAGCCCAAGCCUCUGAUUCUGCAUUCUCCAAUUCAGCUUUUAUUUAGGUAAACCUUGGUUUUGGUCUUAGUUUUCUUGUCAGUCAUUUCAGCAGUUAACUUUCCCUUCUCACAAAGUUAUCAUCUGAGGUAAACAUCUAGUUCCUAAAUUUUGAAAAUAUGUAGGAAACUCCUUUGUAUAUUUAUGUGACCAGAGUAACAUAAUAAAAUGCAGGAGCUAAAAAUAUUUCUAACUGCAAAAUAACAAGUAAUUUUUUCUGAUUAAAAAAAGGUUUAACAUAAUGCAUAUACUAAAAUACUUUUGGUUCUUUUAUGAAUACAAGGAAAAAUACCAUUGCCUCUUCUAUUCUUAUCAGAUUAGCAGUAAACCUUUAUUUCCAUCUAGCCUUCCUUUAAAUACUUAAGGAGAGAAUUUAUAUUUCAGUUUAACAGACAAACUUUAGACUACAACAAAUAGAUGAGUACGCGCAAUUCAAUUCAAUCAACAGAACAGGAUUGCAUAGAUGGAACCAUAUGGAAAGUUGCUCAAGAUAUGAGCACAAAGGCAUGCAAAAGAAGAACUUUCACAAGUAAACACUCAACGUAGAAAACCAAUACUUUAAGGUGGCCAUACCUCUACCCAUAGACAUAAUCCUGUGGAGACAACACCAGUAUAAAUUGCAGGUACCCAUGGGAAUGCUACCAUCCAAUCCGCAAAUUUUGCCCAUGUCCAGGAUGAUGGGUUUAAUGCUUGAGUGCCACCAGAACAAACUCCAAGGACAUACCAGAGUGUUGAUAAAAAAGCAACCACACAUACCUAAAGGAAAAAAUGUCCCAAUAAUUCAUGUAAACUGAAAAUACAAAGCCAACGGAUUGAGGUGGCACUGAGAGUAAUUCAAUUCCUUCUAAACUAACCUCAUAUCCGAGGAGAGGUAAGAGGUUCUCUUUGGUAGUAGCUCUAGAAAUAUGUUCUGUUCUUAGCAUGUGAACCCCAAAAAAUACGGCACUUAAGAAAUUCAACAAGUCCCCAACCUGAAAGGUCACACCAAACUGGUGAGUACUCUUGCAUGUCUGUCUUCUGUCGAAUGACAAAUAAUGGUUUCCAGUAAACAUAUUCACUUGAGAAGUCAAAGUUAACCUCUUCACACUUGCAUGUAAAAAUUUUGAGGAAGCAAAUAAACCAGGAAAUGUAGAAGACACUUACACAAGGAGGUGAGCCACUGGAUUCUAGCAUUCCAACUCCUACUAUAGACAUGAGGGCUCCAAACCAAGUACGUGCAGGGAUCUUCGAUCCUAGGAUACCAUCAAGCAAAGGAACCACAAUCACCUGAAGAAUUGUACCAAAAUUUUGGAAUGCUGGCUUAUAUAUCUAUCAGUGUCAAAAUAAAAUGGCAAAAAAUUUGUGAAUUGAAUGAGAUCCUUGCAUAUUUUCUUACAGUGAACAUUGUGAGGAAAGAUGCCCGUCCUGCACCCGAUGUCUGCAAUCCAAGGGCUUGCAUAAGGUAGCCAAGGCUGACCCAAAAUCCCAAUUCUAUCCCAGCAUUCCGGGUUUGAACAUCAUCUCUUGCUUUCAAAACAAAUGGCGAAAAUGCAAUUGCAGACAAAACAAAUCUGACAAUAGUGAAUGUGCCAGGAUCAAUAAAUGCUUCCACUUCUUUCACUAUAGGAAUAUUGCUAGCUGCACAAAAGAAAUGAUGAUAUUAGUUAAGCACAAUACCAAAGGCCACAAAAGAACUAUUUGCUACACAACAAAUUUUGGCCUCAUUUGUCAGCCUCAGAAAAACUAUGAAAAAGCAAGCAUCAUAGAUUCAUAAGGCUUGCAAAGAAUUAGAGAAUGCAUUUGCAUACUAUGAUCCCAGCCAUUCGCAAGCCAUUAAGAAAUGUUUCUAGAACAGUCAGAGCUCUUUCUCAUCACAUAGGAUUGAAGAGAAUCUCUACAGUGUAUUUAUCAUAUACAAGUGACGCGAAAUUCAGGAAAGUUUACAUAAAUGAAGACAUGUUUAUGUAAUUAGCUUUCUGUAACGCGAAAUGAUACAAUUGAAGAUCUCAAAGUAACAUGGUAAACAGUCGAAAUGAAAACUCAACUAGAAAAAAAAUUCUUUCUCAACCAAAGUUUGAUUCAACAUGUCCCGUGAUUUUCUGAAAUAUCUCGAUGUGACUCCUCUUGAUGCUCUCAAAUGUCAUCAUUAGCUCAAAAAUGAGCUCCACUUAAAGAUUUCCAUCCUACGUUAUAUACAUUCUCCCUUUAACAAGUUCAAAUAAGAAUCUAGAAUUACUUCAAGAAAAGCAUAAUAACGACUAGGAAUCUUGGCCUAUCACUCUGUGUAUGGAGAUCAGUCAUCCUUUCUACGACUACAUCCACCUCAUAGAUCAUCAAACUCAAAUCAAGAUUACAUUUUUCCUUUUUUCUUUUACUAGUAUUUUUCCUUGAACCGACACAACCUACCAAUUUCUCCUGACUCAUAAGCACAAUAUCAUAUUUUUGCAUCAUAGUAGUUAAUUCAUUACCUUAAAAAUUAGAGUAAACCUUUCCUAUGGAUAGUGUAUAUACUAUCAUCUUUGCAUUCAUGACAUGUGGCUAAAAAUUAAAUUUUAAAUUUAAAUUCAUCUAAUAAUAAUGCUGAUAAUGUAUAUACUAAAGAUUAAUUCUAAAAAUUAACCGUUAAAACUAGAAAAGAUUUUCAGAAAAGUUUUGAAGAAAAAACUGACCGUAAAUUAUUGUGAUGGCAUUGAGCAAGAGAAUGCUCCUCACUUUCUCCGAUGCGAAUAAAAUCUUUCUCCAUAGCGCUUUCCGUUCAAAGCUUCGACUUUCCGGCAAACUAACGCCUUUUUUAGAUAAGUCGGGCUCCUUUUCACUAUUUGAGAAAUCGCCAUCUCGUAAUUUAACUAAGAAUUUCGGCUCGCGUGAUUGUUUCUGUUUAACGCUUGUUCCAUGCGACGUCGUAGUAAGUUUGUUAUCCGUCGGACCGGAACUACUACGGUGGCAAGUGAAAGAAGAAAAGAGGUGAAAACGACGUCGGAUCGGGGAAUAGUAGUGACCGAGCUUGAUUGCUGCAGCAGAGGUGCAGUGAAACGGACAUGAAGGUGCAGCCAUGGUAGAAUGGGGUGCAGCCGCAGGUGAACACAGACAGAUUUCUCCAUGUCUUAUUUUUUUUGUAUACUUAAAUUUGGAGAACUUGAGGGGAAAUUGGACCAGUGAUGUACUGACGCGUGUACAUUUGUUUUGGGAUGCAGAGUGUGGAACUUUACGUGGCGAGUGUUGAUUGGCUUGUUGUAGGGUCGGCAGUAGGUACAGAAGAAGACGGAAAUGGUAGGAUAGACGUCAAAGAAGCCUGUGUCAAUCUAAAGAUUGAGAGGUUUCGUUCUCCUUAGUGUCUCAACGUUGUCCAAGCGCAUGACGUUGAACUUCAAGAUCAGGAUAUCUUUGUUUGUACUUCAAGAUUAAUUUUCCGUAAACACAUUUUUUCCUUAAUUUUUUUUAUAUAUCAAAUCGUUAUAUUAUAUUUUUUUUUUUAGAAAAAAAAGCUUAUGAAAAUACCAAUUCAAGCGGACUCUUAAUUUCUUAUAUAUUGUCUGUGUGAUAUUUAGAAAUGCAAACUAAUCAUAAGGAAUAGCAUCAAACUAAAUAAGUAAAUAAACGUGAGCGUGUAUAUUGUAUAAUUAAAAAUAUCAAAUUGUGUGUUAUUAACAAAUGCUAUCGGAGCUCUCAAAAUAAUCUCGAAGUGGAAAAAAAAAAAUUUAGCAUAUGACUUUAUUCUUUUGAGAUAAAUUAGGGUGAGGGGAAAUGAAGUAAAAAUUGCAAUUAUGUAUGAAAUUUCGAUGUAAAGUGGUAAUCAUAAGCCACAUUUUGCACACCCAUAUUCUAUUGCUCUCUAUGUAUCUGUCACGCUAGGUACAUAUUGUAUUUCGAUAGAGUUGAUAUUACAUUUUAAACUACUCGUGUAACAAAAAUUUUACAUUCUCACCGUAUAAGAAGUUUUUUUUGGAGUGAGUAAUUUCUUUUUUCUUUUUUUAAUUAAACCGGAUUGAUUAAUACUAAGUUCACAAUUCCUCUAUUGCAAGAAAAAAUGCUUUAAAGGGAUUCAACAUGAGAUUGGUUUGUUACCUCCCAAAAAAAAAAAACAAAAAAAAAACCAAAAAAGGGAGAGAGAGAGAGGCAUGAGUUUGGUUUGUGGAAUGUCCAACUUGAACGUGGUUCGGGCGACACACCCUGAUAUAGCAACGCUUAUGGAAGUUGUAACUCAUUAAACCAUAUCAGGCCUGUCAACGGGUCGGGUCUAGACCCGGAUCCGAACCGGAUCCGUGAAAUUAUUGCGGGUAUGGGUAGGGAUUUAAUUCCGUUUCUCGAAUCCGAAUUCGGGUCCGUUUUGUCAAAUAAAAAAACGGGUCGGAUACGGAAUAUAGUAUUCCGGCCCGUAUUAGACCCGGAUCCGGAUAUAAAUGAAUUAAUAAUUUAAAAAAUAUAUAUUUAUCAAUAUAAUUUGAUUAGGGUGAUGUAUUUUAAUAAAGUUAAUUUGAUUUCUUUUCUUAUUUGAUUUUUUCUUUGCAUUAGUUAGAAAUUAGUUUACUAGUAUAUUUUUUUCUCAUUUUUAUUAGAAAUUUAAAAAUUUGGUAAAUUUGUUCGGGUAGACCCGGAUCCGGAUUCGGGACCGCCGGAUCCAGAUCCGAAACGUAGAAUAAAAGACCCGUCGGGUAAACGGAUCGGAUCGGGUCCGGCAGAGUAAUUCAGGUCCGGGUUCGGAAUAAUGAAUUUCGACCCGGACCCGACCCGUUGACAGCCCUAACCAUAUGGCAUUCAAUCUGGGCUUAAGUCUCUUCUUACCCGUUCUCUUGAGUUUGUAACGUUGUCCAUUGGUGCCCAAUUGACAUCUAAGUGUUGUUUUUGGGCCCAUUUAUCGCAUAUUUUGAACCAUUUCAUUUACUUCCCUUAUCAAUAAAUGCUUCCCCUAUUAAUAAAUGGGUUAAAUUACCUUUGACAAUUCCUUCCAAAAAUAAAAGUUCCAAGAAAAUUUUUCUUGGAACUUCACAUCUCUCUAUAUAAUGCAUGAGCAAUGAAAUUGGUGUUAAAAAAAUCUGUCAUUAUUUGUUAUUCCAAUUUUACCCUUACAUAAUAGAAUAAUAUACGACCACCUCAUGUUUCAAAUUCAUGUUUACAUAUUUAUCCCAAAGUCUUCCUCCCAACUUCAUUGAAAAAAAAAAGUAGAAAAAAUCUCAUAAUAUAUUUUUUCCAUUAUUUGUUUUCCCUUGUAUCAUGCACAGCCGUAGGUAUGCCUCGCCCACUAGGAUUAAUAAUAUCUUAUCACAAUUUUUUUUUUCGGCAACGAUAACAACUGGAUAAUCUAUUCUAUCCUAAUCUAUAGGGAGGGGAAGUGUAAGGAGACUUGUGUAUUAGAGACUAAUAGAUAUGCAAAGCUAACUAUACCAAAGGAGUGCUAUAAGACCAUCCAUGAAUUUUUUUUGUUGUAGUGAACCCCCCACAUACAGACCAAAGAGGACUUAAAUCCCUUCCUGGUGGCCACUGAGCUAAGCUCCGUGGUUAUCUUAUCACAAUUCAAUUGCUAAGAUCAUCAAUCUAACUUCUUCUUCUUAGUCGUGUCUCAUUAGUCGUAGCUGUUAUGAAAACCAAGUCGCUGGCUAAGAUUAAAUCCGCUGCAAGGAAGUCCAUACGAAAAUUGUGGAGCAAUUUAGGAGUCAUAAUUUCGAGUCUUAUGCUCUCACUUCUUUACGCUAAUUAGCCUUUUCUAACCUGUUCACGUCAGUCAAAGCAUGAGAAUAAUUCCAUUUAAGGUUCGUACAGACGAUAGACAUCAGGCUUAGCAUGGGACUAUUUGCACUCAAUGUCCAAUUCAUGCAUUUGAGGUACAAUGAUUUUAUGGACGAGGAGAAACAAGGAUACUGAAAUGAUCGUUGGGUGGACAUCGAAAUUCGUUAUUCAUUUUCUGGUUUGCCCAUUAUUUACUUUCUCAUCCCGCAAAACUGUUUAAUGUAACAACAUUUAUACUACUUUGAGUUGCAAAAACUCUCUUCCUUCUCUCUUAAAAAAACUCUCUAGCCAAAAUAUUCUCCAGCUUUCCCAUGAAGAAAAAUCUAGCCAAAACGUCUUCCAACCCUUUCAUGGGAGAGAGAUUAGAUCUUUCUUCUGAUAUUUCCCCAUGAAAGGAGCCUCUCUCUAGUUUUAUUUUUGUUUGUGUCAAUAAAGUCUCUCCUAAGAUUUUUUACCAAGAGUUUCUUCUCUCUUGGACUUCGUUUGGGAGUGGAGGAUUUGGACAAAAAAGAAAGGGAAAAAAGAGAAAGUUAAGUUUUCGUUCAUUUGUUGGUUUUUAGUAGGAAAGAAAAGAAAGAAAAUGGAAGGAUUUAAAAGAAUGAAUGGUAGCCAAAAUUUUUCCUCCCAAAUUGGAAAAUAAAUGGGAAGAAAGUUUGAUGAUCCUUGUCAAUUUUUUUAAAAUGCCUAUUUUGUCCUUAAAAAGGUCUUCAACAAAUUUUUAAUGACUUUCAUAUCCAAAAUCUUUCUACUAAUUCUCAAAACUCCUAAACAACAUAACAAUCUCUUUUCUUCUCUUCUCUCAUAACUUAGUUUUCCCUUCUUUUCUUUUCUAUCCUAAACUCCCAAACUAAGCCUUAGGGUUAGCGAGUGAGAGUUCUCUUCUCUCCUAAACUUUUUUAGUAAGAAUUUUAUUCUCUUUUAAGUUAGGUAGUUUUUCAUUUUUUUUUUUCUAUUGUUAGAUUUGACGUUUUUUUUUUUUAGAUUUUGAUUGUCAAAUCUAAAAUUUCUUAGGUCUAUUCGGCAAAUCUCACCAUAAUAUUUGAAUUUGAAAUAGCUAAUCAGUAGAUUUGACGAUUAAAAACAUACACACUUGUUCAUGGGGCCACAAUUAUUUUAUCUUAAUUUUUAUUUGUUUUUCAUAUUUGUAAUAUCCAUUCUUUGAUAUCCAUGUAUUAUCAUAUCUGUUUUUUUGACAUCUAUAUAUGAUUGUAUACGAUUGAUGAUGCAACUUCUGCCACUAAUUAAUCCAAAUUUUAAUGAAAUUAUAAUGUUUUAUCAAAAAAAAAAAAAAAAUUAAACACAUCUAUGGAAUUGCACAUUCAAAUGAGAAAGUCUGGUUCCAUGAAUAUGAAUCUCAGGAUAACCAAACACAUUUACUCCUGCUUGCUAAACUUAAAAAUCAAGGUUAAUUUUUAUCUUUCACGUAAAAUUAUUUCACUAUUAGAAUUGUACAUUCAAAUCUGUUCGUCAUUGGCAUCAUUAUUUUGCACAAUUAAUUUAGUUCGCCAAUGGAAUCACUUAUUUUCCUUUUGUUAUGAAGCAAAUUAUAUUCAGCAAAAUAAUAUUAUAAAGGGCCGACAUCAGAACUAGGAAAAAGCGUAGGGAUAAGGUUAAGUUAGCUAGACGGAUCCUACGUAGAGCGCAACUGUUCAAUUCAAUGGCAAGUAUGCCAUUUCAUAGCAUGGCCAUCAUCUACGCAGAGCGGAACAUCAGUUGAUCAGAUCGAAAGUACAUAUAUUCCAAUUUGUUGAUGCCUGUAUUUGUCUAUUUGUGUUACAUAGUUAGUUGAAUGGUCAUAUCUCCAUCUAGUGCGGCUAUACUAAAACAUUCUCUUGCGCAUGCAGCAACAAAACUGUUGUGCAUCCUGGGUCAGGUGUGAUAAUACAAGCUCAAGCCACAAGCCUCACUUCUUUAAUAAGGUACGGGAAUCAUUUCUAGAAUUGACAAGAACUGGACGGGUAGACAACUU